rnacentral:lncRNA from 1 species
AAAAAAAAAGUGUCAAUUUAUGCAUUGAGCCAAAAAGAAAUAUAGUCAAUUCUCUCUAUUAUGUGAUUUUGGUCACAUCAUGGGAUUCGACUCAAAGGUCUCGAGAUUGAGCCAAGUUCGAUGGGCCUAAAUUCAAGAUGAAAGCGUUUAAAACCCAUGGAAUGUUAGCAUGUGGGCUUUUAUGGCCCAAAAUCAUUCAUCUUAUUUUAUAUUUCCACAACUUUUAAUUAUUAACUUUUAUGAAUCAUGUGUCUUAUGUGUCUUUAAUGUGUCUCUUUCUAUUACAUGAUAAUUUGUGUGUCCAUUUAUGUUUAAAGGGAUCUCUUAGUUUUCUAUUAUUAGAUUUGUUUUUAAUCAUCAUGAAUUAUUCGCAUGUAUCAUUUUGAUUAUUUUCGUGAGUUUAGUUCUAGGUCUAGAGAAUCAUGUUUAAUUAUGUGUGUGUCGUUUCACUUAUGUUGAAAGUCUAAUUUCCUACAUAGCGGCGUCAUGCUUAUAAAUAUAUAAUAUGUUGUGUUUUUGUGUUUUUUUUUUUUUGGUGUCAUUGUGUUAAUUCGAAUAAUGGGUUGUUUUGAAGUGUUGAAAAUAAUCUAAUGUCCUAUUUAUAUUUGUUUUAUAGGGACUGUUCGGCUGGCCACUUUAAAUCCAACGUGAACCUACAUUUAAAUCAAAUGCAUGCACAAGUAAAUUCAAGGCAUUAAUCGCAAGCUUAAUCAAGCAUACAAUUCACCUAUACAUGCAUGAGCGACAAGGGGAGAAGUUUUGCAUUAAAAUGGUUGCAUUGCAUGUCACCAUACAUGUAUCUACUCAAGAGGAAUGAAUCUGCCCAUUCAUGCACUUUAAAAGGGGAUAAAUUACCUCUUCAAGCACCCAAGUGAUUCAUGAACGUCCAUGGAGAAAGAAUAUGACCAUUCGGUCAUACAUUGCAACCAAUCAUUCAUGUAUCUUCCUAUACAUUGUAUGGCACCAUACAUGUAUGCACAUUAAUGGUCGAAUAUGUCCUUUAGUCUCCUAAGCUCUAUAAAUAGUUUGAAACUUCCCAUUUGUAAGGUUAGACUAUUCUGAUUAUAAACUGUAUUUGUGAGAUUUAUUCUCUCCGGUUCUUAAUUGAACUAAAACCGAACUUAUCAAACUUCUUCGAGUUUGUGGCGUUCACCCAUCUUAUCACUUCAUACACCAUCCCGAAGUGUGGCGACUUCCUUUAUACCGAGGUUUUAGUGAGUCCGAGUGUUAAACGGGUCUUAGUUUUAAUAUAGCUAAGGUUCUUUAACUAAGACUACUACGGGUCAAGGUUUCUACCAUCAUUUGAACUUGUUCAAGACGGUCCAUCUUAUUCAAGCCAUUUUACAAACAUUCUAAGUCUGGGAAAUCGCAUCACUUUAUAACAACCCCAUUUGUCUAUCCAGAUUUUGUCUAUUAUAGAGAGGUGGUUGUUAUAAAGAGAUAAUCAUUGUAAGCUUACUAUAUAAUUUAUAACGUGAAUUUUUAUCAAAUAACUAAAGUGAAAAUUAUGUUCAAAGAAUAACAAGUGCAUUUAUUAUUGCUUUUAUGCAUAUUUUAUUUUACAUCAUUUCACAUGAUUAAUUAAUGUAAAGUUCAUAAAUCUAACAAGUUCAAUUAAUCAACGAGUUCUCAAAUAAUCUAGUGAAUCCGAGUGUUAAACAAGUCUUAGCUUUAAUAUAGCUAAGGUUCUUUAGCUAAGACUACUACGAGUCAAGAUUUUCACCGUCAUUUGAACCUAUUCAAGACGGUCCAUCCCAUUCAAGCCAUUUUACGAACAUUCCAAGUCUGGGAAAUCGCAUCACUCUAUAACAUCCCCAUUUGUCUACCCAGAUUUUGUAUAUAAGUUUAUAAUGUUCCAAAUUCAUAAUAGAAUAUUUAAUUAGGGAAUUUAAUAAUUUAUUGAAUUGAUAUAUUUAAUUCCACUCAUUGAAGAAUAUUUUCAUUAAACAAAAUAUGAUUAACAGAAUUCUUCAAAGUGAAAUUUAAUCAUUAUGUUAAAAUAAUAUUUUAAUUAAAAUAAUAUUCAUUUAAUAAAUGAUAAUUAAUAAACUUGCUUAUAUGAAAUAGCUAUAAAUUUACUUUAUGAUAACUAUGGAUAUUGCUGUUAUAAGUGAAAAGCUAUUAUAGAGAGCUAAAAUAAAACAUAAAAAAUUGAUUCUUCUAAAAACUUGACUAUUAUAGCGCAAUAUUGUUAUUACGAGUGACUGUAUAUAAAAUCUGAACAAAUGUUAUAGUUGAGGGUCAAAUAUCGAUAUGUGACGCAUAUAAUUAAAAAUCGUUCUUGAUAUAUUUGAAAGUUAAUAUCUUAUAUUUAUAUUUAAUAAAUAUGAAAGUGUUGAGAAUUGAAUAGAGGAAGUGUUCAUGGUAGUAUCGAGUUUAAGCUUGAUUUUGAAAAUUUUCGAGACUAGGAUAAAGUUUGACCUUGACUAGUUCAAAUGAUCUAUUUUAAUAUUUUUAAAUAUAUUUAUAAAAAAAUGUAAAUAUUAAUAAAAAAUUAUUUAUAUAUUUAUUUAUUUUUUAAUCAGUGAAUUGGAUCAGAUUAAUCUAUCUCGAGAUUUUAAAAACUAAUCACAAAUUUGAUCCAUAAACACUUCCAAAAUUGAGAUACCAUAAACAUUAGAGAUCAAUUUACCGUUAAAAAGAAAAGAUCAACAAGUGUUGGGUGUAAUGAUAAGACAUAUUGUAUUCCUAAGAAGAUAUACAUGUUCAAUUUAUGAAUAUGACAUUGUUGAAAGGGCAGCCACAAACCCUGAACAUGGACCAUAAAAUGAACAUAAAAAAUAUCUAAAAAUAUAUUUAAAAAAGGGAAAAAAUGAUGAAAUUAAUAGAAAAUGUGUAAAAUGUUUUGUUUCUCCAAUGAAAUGCAUGACAACUAUGUUUACGUCUUUACUAGCAUCAACUCCCCGCUAAUGCCGGGCUAUUCUAAAAUAUAUAUAUAUAAUUAAUUAAUAGUAAAAUUAAAUAUUAAAUUAAAAUUUAUUAAAUCAAUAUUAUUUAAUUUUUAUUAAUUAUUAAAAUUAAAUUAAUUAUAAUUAUUUAGAAAUAUAUACUGACUUUAAAUUAAUCUACGAGUUAACAUGUACAUUAAUAAGUUUAAUUUUUUUAUUUAAAAUUAAAAAUAAAACAUAUUUUAUCUUGUUGAUCACGUGUCCUCGUAAGAUCACAAAUAAAAAUAUGGACUAACUAUUUUAAAUGCAUUUAAAAGUAUAUAAAAAUAGUCGAUUGAUAUUGGUAUUGUUGUCAGUGCAAAAAGACGUGGGUUUAAGUGCAUUAAAGCGUAUUAUCUUCCUAUUUAAGGGUUGGAGAGGGGCUACGAGUAAUUUUAAGCAUUGUAUUAAAAAGAACAGAUACGAUAGCAACUUAUAAUAAUAUUAAUGUUCAACAUAUAUAUUGUUUAAAUAUUAUUUUUGAAUGAAUCCCAUAUGAUGGCCUGAUAGUCAAGAGUGUUUAUCAUCUCAAGUGUAGCUUGAGUUUAAGUCGCAUUAGUCGCACUUGCUAUUUGUUCUGUCUUGUUAUUGUAAUUCACUAAAAAAUAUUUUUUUUAAACAACAUGAGAGUGUAUAUGCAAAUCAAGCCAUUUAAAAUUAAAAUUAAAUAAUAUUUAAACAAUUUUCCUUUUUAAACUUCUUCUGGUUGCUCCAUUUUGAACUAUAUAUUGUUUUGAGAAGGGUUAAAUCUCGAAAUUGCACAUAAACUUUAAUUUAAUGUGUAAUUAUAUAUAUAAAUUUUAAUUUAGUACAAUUAUAUACUAAAACUCUCAUUGUAAUUCAGAUUUAUACUUAAAACUUUAAAAUUAAAAAGUGAUGGUUAAAAUGGGUUUUAUUCAAGACAUGGGCUUGGGCAUUUGCCUAUUCAAAAAUAAUGAGAAUUAAAAUUUUGAUUUUUUUUAAUAUUUUUUUAUGUUAAUUUUAUUAUUCAUAUUUGAAUAAAUAUAAAACUCAUCUAUUAAUAAACUUAAUUAUCUUUAGUUAUUUUUAUUUGACCCGAUUCAGUGCACUCUAAUUUUUUGUUUUGACAUAAUCAUAACUUUAACUUCCAAUAUUUUUCUUUUAAAAUUUAAAAUUUUAUUUAAAUUUUGAUAAAUUUAAAAUUUUAUUUAAAUUAUUUUUUAUGAAAAAUCGAUUACACUGCUUAAAAUUUUAAUUGCAUUGAUGUAUAUUUAUUAAAAAAUAGAAUACAUGAAAUUAUUAAAAGUUUAAAAAAUAGGGAAAUUAAAAAUUAUCCAUACUAGCAAAAAAAUACACAUGAAUUGCCACAUAAAAAAUAUAAUUAAAAUUCGAUUUGUUACAAUUUUAUAUAUAAAAUUUGAACUGAAAUUUAUGUGUAUACAUGAAACUUUGAUUUUAAUUUAAUUGUACACAUUUAAAAAAUGAGAAUAUGCAUUUAUUUCCAUAUUGGAUUAAUAUAAAUAUUUGUAUAUGUAUUAUAUCAAUGUAAAAUGACACUAACUAAACCUACUAAUGGGUCGAGUCACUUGCCAGGCUCGAAGACUUGCCCAAAAAAUGAGAAGAUUUGGAUAGAAUAAGCCCAAAAAAUGAGCUUGAGUAAAAUUUAAAGCCCUUUUUCUAUAUGGGUUAGUCCUUGGGCAAGAAUUUUUUGGCCUGACUUGAAUAUUAUGUUAUAAAAUAAUAUUAUAUUAAUUAUAUAUUUAUAUUUAUAUUAAAUCACUAGUCUAAAAAUAAUUAAACCCAUUGCCCAAAACUUAAAAAAAAAAUACCCAACCCAAAAUAUAAAAAUAUAAAAUUUAUAUCUAAUACAAUAAAAUAUUUAUUAUAUUUAUUUGUGACUUUAAUAUAAUAAAACAUUUAUUAUAUUUUUAGUAGUGUUUUUUGAUAUAAAUAAAUUUUAAUGUAUUUUUAAUAUGUUAGAAAAGUUUUAUUUUAGCUUUUUAAAUGCAUUUAGUGUGUUAUAUUUUUUAAAAAAAUAUAUAAUUUUAAAUAAAAAUUAAUCUGAAAAAAGUUAAAUAUGAGUGGUCUAGUCAAGCCUAGAUUUACUGAUCUUAAAUCGGGCCAGGCUUGAAAAAGUGGUCUAAAUACCUUACAUAGGCCUGACCCAGCUCAUGAGUACUUCUAACGCUAACUCGAUAAUGUUAGUGAUUUGUGAAAACUGAAUCAAGUCAAAAUUUCAUAUAUAAAACCGAAUAAAAUUAAGAUUUAUGUAUAACAUUACACACUAAAUUAAAUUUUAUAUAUAAUUUUAAUAUUUAACCCGAAAAAUAUUAAUGAGUAAAUCACUUUAAAAUUUUAAUAACGUUUGGUGUGACAUAUGCGUUGGGAUCUCUUUUGAACAUUAUUUUUUGGCAUGGCAUUGACUUGUGAGAGAUGCAAUAGAAUUCUUGUUUUAAGUGCAAAAAUGUGGAAAAAAGAAAAGAAAAGGGUUAUGAGUAGUGAUCCAAUCACAUACUUAAUUAAACUUCUUCCAUAAGUAAUCCAUUAAUGCUUUUGGUAAGAUUUCAGCAUCAUAGCUUCUACAUGUAAUGUUUGGUUUACCUUACCUACUUAUCUCUAUUUCAAUUUCCAACCCAUUUAUUUAAUUGUUUACUAUGAUUCUUCUUCCUUUGAUUUUCAUUUGCCCAAUUUAAUUAAAUAAGGGGAAGUUAAAAAUUUUAUGUUCGAGCUCGAGAUAAAAUUAUAAAAUUGUGUUAAAAGAAUUUAAUAUUAAUUAAAAUCUUUUAGAAGGGACCAAAAAUGAAAAAAGUUCCAUUAACUGAGAGAAAAACAAAGGAUAAAAUUACAUUUGCUCCAUUCAAUGAAAAAGGGCCAAGACCCUUGUCUAUAUAUGGAAUAAAAUAUUUUAAUAACAAUAUAGGUAAAAUUUUAUUCCUGUGUUUGAUCUGAUAGUUAAGGGAUGUUCAUUGAUAGAACUUAUUUGGAUUCAAGCCUCUAAGGGAGCAAGUGGCAAGCCUUUAUUUGAUUAACAAGUGGCGGAGGGGUCCUGACCCCUUAAAAUAAAAAAAUUUCUAUUUAGACUUCUUUAUAAUUUAUAAUAUUUUAAAAUAGUAAUGAUAAAAUUAUAUUUUGUCCCUCCAAAAAUGAAAUAAAUUUGAUUCAAUCAUUUAAAAAUAACAAAGAUACCAUUAAAAUGGUGAAAUUACAUUUUUACUAUCGUAAAAAUAUACAAUUUAAUUUUGACCCCUCUCAAAAAAUUUCCUAACUUUACCCUUAUGUGUCAACUCCCUUCAAACGUAAUAUGUGUAUAUGUGGUGUGAAUAUAUCCCUACCAUAUAAAAAUGAAUACUAACCUUCUAAUUGUGAAUUACCAUUUAUAUAUAUAUAUUGAAAAUGUGUGUAUUUAUGUUGUUCAUUUGGGUGGAUAAAUUAGAUGUAAGCUCCAUUAAACUUAGUUUUAUUAAUUGCUAUGUCAUUCAUUAUUUUGGGCUAUUAUUUUCAUCUCAUUUAAUAUUAUUGUAGACUCUUGUGAAAAUCAUAGUUGUAAAUCAUUUAAUAUGUGGGUGUAUACUUGUGAACUUCCCAUCAUGCAUUUUAAUAUAUGGUUUCUCAUUUAUUAAUACUUUUAAACAUUUUAUAUGCAUUUUUAUAAUUUAAUUUUUAAUUCUUUUAAUAAUAUACAUAUAUUAAUUUACAUACAAAUAUACUUAAUCAAGUUAAAAAUAUUUAGUCUUUAGAAUUAGCAAAUAGUUGAAGGGUUGCCUUGAUCAUAUUCGAAUUCAAGCCACCAAGAUUUUGAUAAAAUUUUAAAUAAAUUUAUUUUUGAAUAUUAAAAUAAAUAAUUUUGGUUAAAUUUUGUAAAUAAAUAGAAUACUUUUUUUAUAAGGAGGAAAAUUUUCUUUUGAUGAAAGAAAAUCACAAGCAGUUGAGAGUUAAGGUUUUAUCCGAGAUAAAUGCUCAAAACGUCAAUAAUUUUAAAAUUGGAAGCAUGAAGAACAAGAUUAGCCUUUGCUUGAAACAAGCAUUCAUUGCCCACUAUCGUGGAAGCAAGGGGGGACUCAUGCUGGUAAUUUUAAGCAAUUGAUCAUCAAAGCAAUCAUAGCCACCAUGAUGCGAAAGAGUCUCUUUUCACGCUCUCACUUGUUUAGACGAUGGGAACACCACUAUUGAUAUGAAACAAUAGAUGCAGAGAAAGCUAAAAAAAAUCAAUCAAAACUCGGUAGCCUACAAAGAUCAAGAUUUGGAGCAAACGCUACAGAUAGACACAAAAACGAUCACAAAAUUGCUUCCGCAAUGGGGAAGUCAAUAACCCCAUCCAUGACAGAGGUAGAAGGUAAAAGAAAAAAAAUUGUGGUAAAAAAGCUACCAGAAGGUCAGAGUUGGUGGCAACGAGAAAGGCCAUAGGGGAGGUGACGGCAAUAAGAUAUUUGAGAUGAUAUCGACUCAUCAAAGACUAACAUGAAAAGAGAAAAGAUUGUGAGCUUGUGAUUAAGCUCUAUUGAGUGUUUUUUUUUAUGUCCCCUUGAGAGGAAUAUUGAGGUAUUUAUAUAUACUCCUAUUGUUACAGUUCAUAACUGGGCCUACUAUUUUGUCUCGGCCUUGGGGUCUCCAGUACUGACAUUUCUUGUCUCAGGUGCUAACAUUCUGUGUGCGCCCCCUAGCUUGUUGAAUGCUUGCCUGCAUAACACGCGAUCCUUUCUGAUCUUGGGGCUAACAUUCUCAGCCAGCUCCGUACCCGUUGGUCACAAGCCUGGGUUGCUUGUAGGGCUUGCAACCCUUCUUGCGAACAUCGUUUGCGACUCCAUUUUGCGAGGUGUGCCCGCGAACUCCUCUUGUAAGCUAUCUUGGAGAGUAUGCCUCUUCCGAGUUGGGUCUAUCCAGGUCAAUCGUUGGGGACUCAAAUCCUUUUAGGACAUUUAAGUUGAUGAUUAUAUAUAAAUAUAUAAAUAUAUAUAUAUAAAACAAGCCCUAAAAAGAAAUUUAGAAAAAAAAUUAAAAAGAUAAUCAAACUAAAAAGAAGAUAAAACAAAAAACAAAAAAUCCGUCUCAACAUGGUGUCGGUGAGUUGUGGUUUAGCAGUAACGCACAAAGCUCAACUAAUACGAGGCCCGUUAUAUCUUACCUUCCUUUGCCGCUUUCUUUCUCUCGAAAUUUCCGUUUCCUUGGAAAAUUAAAAGAAAAAAAAAUAUAAUACACUUUGAAGAUCUCUAUGUUUGGACUUCAAAUAGAGACUACCCUUCACGUCAAUCUCUCCGCCAUUUCUCAUUUCUCUUUUCAUAAAGGUUAGUCAGAUCCAUUUCUUUACAUACUUUCUUCAUUAUAUUUACAUCCAACUGCUACACUCAUAAUAAUCCCUUGUUUCUUCAAAAACCCACAUCGAAAACCUUUGAAUAUUUGCUUAUAAUCCCAUUUCUCGAUCUGGGUUUACCCAGAUCUGACUAAAUCUGAACUCAAUGGCGAGUUUUGGGAUCUGGGUAUUAACGAUUUUCUUGGUUUUUCAAUCUGGGUAUGGGUUUUAUUUGCCUGGUAGUUACCCUCACAAAUAUAAAGUUGGGGAUCCUUUAUCUGUUAAAGUGAAUUCCUUAACUUCAAUUGAUACUGAAAUGCCCUUUAGCUAUUAUAGUUUACCCUUUUGUAAACCUGCUGAGGGUGUUAAAGAUAGUGCUGAGAAUCUGGGUGAGCUUCUUAUGGGAGAUCGUAUUGAGAACUCGCCAUAUAGGUUCAAGAUGUGUACUAAUGAAACCUUGAUCUUUUUGUGUCAAUCGGGUAAGUUAUCGGCUGAUGAGUUUAAGUUGUUGAAGGAGAGGAUUGAUGAGAUGUAUCAGGUUAAUUUGAUUCUCGAUAAUUUGCCGGCGAUUAGGUAUACGGUGAAAGAGGGCUUUGUGUCGAAGUGGACCGGGUAUCCGAUUGGGGUUAAGUUUCAAGAUAUGUAUUAUGUGUUUAAUCAUUUGAAAUUUAAGGUUCUUGUUCAUAAGUACGAGGAAACGAAUGUGGUGCGUGUGAUGGGGACAGGGGAUGCCGUUGAUGUUUUCCCCAGUGGUGGUAAAGGUGGAUCCGAUGUGCCGGGGUAUAUGGUUGUUGGAUUCGAGGUAAUUCCUUGUAGUGUUAUGCAUAAUGGUAACUUGGUUAAGGAUUUGAAAAUGUAUGAUAAAUACCCAUCCGAGAUUAAAUGCGAUACAACUACCGUCACGGUGCCUAUCAAGGAAGGUGAGCCAAUUGUGUUCACGUAUGAAGUUGCCUUUGAGGAGAGUGAUAUCAAGUGGCCAUCUCGUUGGGAUGCUUAUUUGAAGAUGGAAGGAUCGAAAGUUCAUUGGUUUUCGAUCUUGAAUUCCCUUAUGGUGAUCACUUUCCUUGCUGGUAUUGUUCUUGUGAUCUUUUUAAGGACUGUUAGGCGGGAUCUGACUCGGUAUGAGGAGCUUGACAAGAAGGCUCAAGCGCAGUUGAACGAGGAGUUGUCGGGGUGGAAGUUAGUUGUCGGGGAUGUUUUCCGUGCCCCGUCCCAUCCUGCUCUUUUGUGUAUUAUGGUCGGUGAUGGAGUUCAGAUCCUUGGUAUGGGAGUUGUAACUAUAUUGUUUGCUGCUCUUGGAUUCAUGUCUCCGGCAUCCCGUGGGACUCUCAUUACAGGUAUGCUAUUCUUCUACAUGAUUCUCGGAAUUGCAGCUGGCUAUGUUGCAGUUCGGCUUUGGAGGACUAUCGGCUGUGGUGAUCACAAGGGAUGGGCUUCAGUUGCAUGGAAAGCCGCUUGCUUUUUCCCCGGUAUCGCCUUUUUAAUUCUCACCAUUUUGAAUUUCCUGUUGUGGGGAAGUCACAGCACUGGAGCUAUCCCAUUUUCGCUCUUUGUCAUUCUACUCCUAUUAUGGUUCUGCAUCUCUGUUCCACUCACCUUAGUCGGAGGAUACUUCGGAGCCAAGGCACCUCACAUUGAAUACCCUGUCCGAACCAACCAGAUCCCUCGAGAAAUCCCAGCUCAAAAAUACCCAUCAUGGCUGUUAGUUCUCGGUGCUGGAACUCUACCUUUCGGUACCCUUUUCAUCGAGCUUUUCUUCAUCAUGUCAAGCAUAUGGAUGGGACGCGUGUACUACGUCUUCGGCUUUCUUCUCAUCGUUAUGGUCCUCCUUGUUGUGGUUUGUGCCGAAGUAUCAUUGGUGUUAACUUACAUGCAUCUCUGCGUAGAAGACUGGAAAUGGUGGUGGAAAUCCUUCUUCGCUUCUGGUUCAGUCGCCAUCUACAUCUUCUUAUACUCCGUAAACUACCUCAUAUUCGAUCUCAAGAGUUUGAGUGGACCGGUCUCUGCAACUCUCUACUUGGGGUAUUCUCUCUUCAUGGUCCUCGCAAUCAUGUUGGCCACUGGCACGAUCGGGUUCCUUUCAUCUUUCUGGUUUGUGCAUUACUUGUUCUCUUCCGUAAAGCUGGAUUGAAGAUGUAAAUCGGUAACCCGAGAGGCAGGGGAAGAAAGAAUUGGACCUUUUACAUCACUUUAUCAUAUAUUACAGGUGUUAUAUUGAGCUCAUUUACUUUGUUAGGGGAACUUUAGUAAAAUGCAAUAACAAUAAUAUGGCGCAGUUUCAUUUAAAUUCUUUAUUAGUUGUUACUAUGAUGCAUGGUACUGCUGGUUUUUAGGUUGUGUUUGUAACAUUUCUUGGUGCUACUUUAUACUAUUUAUUUGGGGAUCUGUAAUGCAAGCUAUGCACAGUUCACAUUUUUAUUGCUCUCAACUUUGUUGAGGUGUGUUGGUCAAAUUACAGUUUUGGUCCUUUUACCAUCUUCGAAUUCUUAAUUUAACUUAUUUUCAUUUUUUAUUGUAAUCUAGUUUUCUUUAUUUUUAUAAUAUAUUUGAUUAGUUAAGAAUAUUAAUUAUUUGUUGAGAUGGAUUAAUAAAUUAUGGUAAGUAGAUAAAUUAAACCUAAAUUUGAAUAUAUAAAAAGCCAGACUAGAUAUGGUUAUGAAGGUUCUUCUAUUAGGGUCCAAUUGAAUUUUACUUUCUUUAUUUGGAAAUGUACAAUUUAUUUUUUAAGUUAAAUCAAAGAAUAAAUGGUCAUUUUAUUAAAUAUUGUCUAUUUUAAACUUAGUUGUACUUCAAUAUGAAAUAUUUAUGACAUGCCAUGUUAUUAUCUAAUUAUUCAAUUGAUCACAUUAAUUUUUUUAAUAAAAUAAUUAAUAUAUUCUUUAAUCUAAUAUAUAUUAUAUAAUAUGACUCCUCCACCUUGAUAGAAUUGCGUUGUACUUAUUACUCAGGAGUAGACCGUGGGAGCGGUGUUAAAGGUCAACACGGCAUUGCCCCCAAAUGUAGCAUGGUCAUGAUUUAAUUUGUUUAAAAAUUGUGAGGAUAGAAAAUUGAAUAAUGAUAAAACUAUAUAUUUUAUAAUUUCAUUCUAAACCCAAAAGAUUUCAAUUAUGACUUAAAACCACAAAGUCAAAAGUCUUGAUACAGUCUUUGAAACUGAAAUCUCCGUUACUGAGUACCAUGUAUAUUGCGAGCUUGUAUAUGAAGGGAGCUGCGCCGAAUAAAACAAGGAUUCAACUGGCACCGGGUACGAUAAAAGUAUUGACUCUUAACGACAAGGAAAAAAGUUCCAUUUUCUAGAGAAUAUAAAAGGAUGAAACAUCCAUCUUAUCCUACAUUAAGGUAGGAAAUCUAAACAGAGGACCAUACAAGCAAAUGUUUAUUUGUUGGCUAUUGAUUGAAUCAUCUACAAAAGAAUUGAAAAUAACAAGCACUAAACCAAACCCCCGAAGGAACCAUGCGCCACAACCGGUACCAUUACGCGUUGCAGAAGCUUAACCAGAACUCAAUGCUUGAUGCAUCGAUUUGGAAAAUAUGCCAUCCAAGUCGGUUUCUACAUCCCACUCUAAGCCACUUCAGCCUCGUGUUUGCCUAGUAUUGUAUGACUUGCAAUUCGGACAUUUCUGAGCCAGGACAUGAAACCGAACUAGAGAUUUUGUCCCACAAUCGUUGCAAAGGAUCGAAACCUGUUGAAUCACAAUUGAAUUUUCUAAGUAAACCUUGUUCCACGAAAAUGAAUCUCAACUAGUAUAAGGCUUUGUCAUUCAAGAGAUUACGAACAAUUUUGUUAUGGUACUCUUCCGGCAUUGGCGCAGCUGCGAUCUCCUCAUCAAAUUUUUCCCAGACCUUUGACAUGUCACAAACCGAUUUGGAGCACAGAGGGCAGGCAUAUCUGUUCAAGUGAUUGGAAUAUCAGUCAAUAAUAGAGUUACAAAAUAGUAGGUAAUAGUAAAAUCCUGAGAUUGAGCUGAAGCACUAACUGGAAAUGGUCCCUCAUUUCCUUCAAACAAUUUGUGUGAAUUGUAUGUCCGCAUGGCAGAAUAGUUACAUCCUGUCUUGAUUCGAACAAGAACUGCGUAUACAGAUUGAGGUCUUUCAGUUAGGUAAAAUAUUAAAGUAAUUCAUUAUCAAAUUUAAUGGUAAAUAAGAGAACUUGAAAUUACCUCAAAGCAUAUGGGACAGUCAUGGUGCAUCGCUCCUUCAACACAGGGAUGGCUAUUUUUCAGAAGAAUUGAAUAGCAGCAACCUUCGUGCAACAAAAAACAUAAAAAUAAACGGAUAAAAGUAUUAGUGAUGUUCAAAUACCCCAAUAAGACUAAUAAAAGCUUACAUAAAGAUGGAUUCAGAUUAGCUUACCACACUUGUGGCAAUGGAAGAAGUUCUCCUGCCCUCCAAUCCUGGGAGAAAAUAACAUUAUUAUUUAGUUGUGAAAAUGACAAGAUUAAAAGAUAAAAAGGUAAGUGAAUGAUGGCGAAAUAAGUAAAAAUAAUUUCAUAAAUUAAGGCGAAGAAAACCAGGAAAUGACAACAUACCUACAGAUCCCACAACCAUCACAAUGAUACUGUCUCUUCGAUGUCUGCAUGGUAGAAACAAACAUUAGUAUGCCAUUGCGUGCAUCUUUUAACUCUUUGAGCAAAACAUAAAGAGCUGAGACAACAGAACAAGUCACAGAACUAUAAAACAUGGAAAAACUUAGGUUUGCGUUUGGCUAUCCACUUACAUCAUCAUCAAAAAGUUUGCAGGUGUUGCAGAAAUAUUUUCCCAUACAAACACCACAGUUGAUGCAAACUUGUUGAGCCUGUUCAAAACAAUAUCAAAAGCAAACAACCUCAGAAGAAAUCCAACCAAGUACAAAGAGCCUCUAAAAUGCUAAACACUGCAAAACUAAAUUUUCCUUGUCAUCAAGAAUGUCAUGAAAACUAGAAUUAAUUGGACUAACUUACUUCUUGUUCUGUGCCACAUAGCGAACAAAUAACCUGGUAAAAGUUAUGGGUAAAUGUUAGCAACCUGGAGCAUACAGUGGAGAUGCCACCAAUACAAAGAAAAAGAUUUCCAGGUACCAAGAAACUAGGCUGAAUUUAUGGAUAUAUUUACCUUACUGAUUUGACGGCAUGGGAGAUCAUGUCUGAGCUUCUGGUCAACAUUGAUAUUGUUCUGAGCACAAUGAGAAUCAGUUAGAUGUUAAUAUUAUUGAAACUAAUAAAAGGUAAAGAUGUUUUUUGGAUGAUAAAUCUGAACUUCCAGUUGCAUGUUAGAAUGUACUAAUUUGUUAUAGCUAUCGCUACAUAAUUUCAGUUAAAGCAUAUAAAUAUCUAAAUCAGAUGGCCUUAAAAGGUUAACAUAAACAAAGUGAAAAAAAUAACACUCAAAUUAAUGAAAUAACAUUCUCAAACUAGUGUAAUAUAGAUAGCAACUACUGUUGAUCAUAAAAUGUUAAGGACGUAAACUAACCUUUGCCUCAUUAUGACAGUGACGACAAUCAAAUAUCUCACCACAACAGGGAGCUCUAAUCCGGCACCUUCUUCGAUAAUGUGGGCAACUGUAGAAAACAGGGGAAAAUCAACAACACAUCGUCAACCAACAAAUAAAAGAACGGAACCUGAACAGAACCUAAUUAAAGUAAAGGAAAAGAUCAGAACUUACCCAUACUCCAUAAACCCCUUGUCCAGCAAUUCAGUUGCUUCUGCAUCAUUUGAUUCUUGUUUAUCCACACAAAUUCCACCUGACUGUGAUGAGAAUGAUCCCCUCGCCUCUUCUUCAAAUGCUUCGCAGCUUUCAUUUUGUUGCUGAUAGCUAAGCUCUUCAGCUCCAGAAUGCUUAAUUUCCCCUUCUUCCAUUGAAAAUGUCAUUUCCAGAUGAAACCGUAUGAUAUCUUACAAGCUGGUGCAAAGCCUAAAAACCUGCAGAUAAUAACAAAUUUAGCAAAGAUUCCAAUAUUUUAAAAAUAGCUAGUGGCUUGAACAAGCCAGGCAAGCACUCCAAGAAAUUGAUGCUUUCUUCUACACUGCCGCAGACCAGUCGAAAUCAGCAACAAAAUAAUCCAAGAAAGGUUGAACAGCUCCAAUCAGCAGUACUCCAAGCGAAGGAUUCAUCAAAAUAAGUAGAACUACAAAAAGAAACCCACAAAAACAAGAAUAAUGCAGCACUGAGGAACUCCAGAGCCUCCAGCAGUGAAUUAGAAAGCAAUAGCAUUGCAUGAUAACUUGAUUGCUUGAAGUUCUGGACCCAAAUCCAACUAUACUGGAGACGACCAUAGACGUCCCAACCUAUGGUAAAAGCAAUAUAUCAAAGAAUCAAACAUAUUCUCUAAUGAAAAGAAAAAAAACAAAACGGGAAAGAGUGAUUGAUUGCAAAAUUUUUCUGCGUUGUUGUCCACAACAACAAGCCUACCUCUAUCACAUUUCUGCACCAAGUCUCUCCUCUGAGAAUAGUUUUUACUCAUCACUUAAAACUUUCACAUCCUUAUAACUUGAGAAGGUAAAUCUUCAGAAAUAAUUGACCUUAUUUGGAACUUAAUCAUUUCUCUCACAAAAUCAAGUUCUACAAGAAAAUCUCCAACUACCAGAAGAUUUUUAGUCGAAUAUAAACCAAGCUGGUUGCUCACCACCCAUUCAUUUCUAGGUAGAUAGUAAGCUUUUAGUAGAAACCCUAUUAGCACAGAUUCUUUUAUUUCUUGGCCCUUGCCAAUUGAGAAUACACCCUCCUAAAGUUUCUGGAAAUGAAUCAUAGCUGCUCGGGCUGACCCCAUAAUUUGGAACAAGACAAAGUAAUGACUACGUCUUAUGUCACCACUCUUCAAUCGAAGUUUAGAAGGGGGAAGAUAAAAAAUGAGCAGCAAAGUGACGAUGUAUCUAAAAACAAGUGUUUGUCAUUAGCAAAAUCGAGCAAAUGCAAUGAAGGUUCAAAUCUGAGGAAGAAAUGAACGGAAAUGGCAACUUGGAGAAGUAUCAAUUGGCUGAGAUAUGGAAGACAAAUUUAGCAUCCAACUUGCUUCAGCCCCUUGACUGUGUACAUUAACAAAUUUCAUAACCUGUAAAGAUAGUGAAUCUCCGGGGAAAGAAGGGUCAUGCAAACCAACUAAUCCUAGGGGUUUUGCAGCCUUGAGCAUCUUCAACACCUGCAGCUAAUAUUAAAAAAGAGAUCUGUACACAAAUCCCUAAUGAAUUCUAAUCAAAGCGGCAGGAGCAAAUGAAAUUCAAAGUACAUAUAUCAAAACUGUGACGUCCUUCCCCAGCUGCAAUCAACCGCACAUUUUGAGGUACCAAGCCAACACAAAAUUUUCACAUUUCCCACAUCCCACAUGUAGUGCACUAUCAAUCUGGGAUUUCCUUGCUGGGGAAAGAUAUAACACUAUAUCAGCAUACCAAUCUCCAAAGUGAACUCUAAAAUGAGCUGGUAAAGUCAUUAUUAUUAUUAUUUUUUGUUAGUUUAACGAAGACUUGGAAGUUAUCCAAACCCAAAAAGAGAUCACAUUUUGUGUCAAGAGAAUAAAAAAAUUGGUUGCCAAGCAAAAAGCAGACUUAAUUAAAAUUAAAACUUCCGGGUUAAUAAUAUCUAAAAUUAAUCAAUGUCUCAUCACACUAGUGAUGAAGACGCCUUCAUGAUGCAUCAUGUCAGACAGGCUGUAUGCUAUGUUAAAUAAUGCAAGCUCGUUUUCCCCCUUUACAUCCAAAAACAGACUUAAUUAAAGAACUUUUGGGUUAAUACCAUCCAAAACUAAUCAGUUUGUCCUACCACACUAUCAACGAAGAGGCCUUCAUGAUGCAACAUGUCGAUUGGUUGUAUGCUAUGAUACACAAGUAAUAACAUAAAAGACACCAUCGAGGGUGGUUAACCUAUAGUAUUGCUUAGCAACAAGCAAUACCUAAGCUAGAAUACUUCAUUGAUAGAAAUCAUAUGUUCAUGCUGAAGGCUCUAAACAGCAGGUUACAUAAUUAUAAUAAUCUAAUCCACAAUAUUGACAUAAAUGCCAUCGAAGCAAAGAGAAAAAAAAAACUUGUAAUAAAAAGAAGCAACCACUUCAGUAAAAACAAACAACGGUUUGAAGAACUUUCAAGCAAACAGAAAUCAGCAGCAGCAAUGACAAACAAUAAUAAAUCAGUAGAAGCAACAGCAACACAGCCACAGCUCAAAUCAAUCAGCCAGCAAGAAUAUUAAAAGCUGAGAGUUGUAUCAAAUUAUUCUAACACAAACAAUUUCGAGCAAAAUCAACAAUCAAUCAAAAUUUCACGAUCUUAAGCUAAAUAGGAACCACCGUUUCAAUAAUCUACCAGCUCUCCUAGUUCCCAAAACGUUCAUGUUUGUCCUCUAGAGAAGGAAACGAAUAAUUUCAAUCACUUUUUUUUCCUUCCGUUUCUCUCAAAUUCUCUCAUAAACCAAACGGAAAACUAAAUAAAAAUUCAAGGAAUCACUAAAAUUCAAACAAAAACAUUUGCUUGGCACGUUACCUAAACAAAUAAUUCAAGCAACAACAUGAAGAAAACAAUAUUAUUAAGCUUAAAGUAAAUUUUAUUGAAUAACGAACUUUAAAUUUAGAGAGAAAUCGCUCCGAUCCGAAUAAGAACAAACGGCGGUGAUCCCGAUGAGAAACGUCCGAUCGCAAACGUAAAAUAAUUCUUCCAAUUUCGCAAAAUCAGAGCAUUUUAUUUUAUUUUGCUUUGUGAGAAAACGAUGAUCAUGUGAUUGCCCUUUUAUAGCUGUUUGGAAAAAUAUGAUCGGAUUUCUUCGAUUUCUCGAGACUUCGAAAAUUAUUUUGGUCCAUACGAUACGAAAGCGAAAGCUGUUACUUACUGGUUUCGGAUUUUGUCAUAGCUGUCACAAAAUUUAAAUAUCGAAAUGACGGAUUUACCCUUCCACUUCAAAAUAUCUUCCACAAGAAGACGGAAAGAAAAGACAAAAGGAUUAUUAUAUUUUACAAACGCAACCAUUUUAUAAGAACUUGAAACCUCGUUAGGAUUAAACUAUCAGUGCUGAUUAAUACGUAUUCGACUGUUGAUUUAAAUUUUUAGGGUUAAUUUUACUAAAAGUCCUUAAACUGUGAAUCAAAUUUUAUAUUGAUCUUAAAUUCUAAAAUGUUCUAAUUGAAUUAUCAAAAUAUUAAUGUCAUAUCGGGUCUUUUUAUUACUUUAUCAAUUGCUUGAGUAUUAAAUGUCAGGUCAAUUCCAAAGUUAAAGAGAAAAGUUCAAUGGGAACAGGCAAAGGCCAUCGUUAUUUUGGUUCAAAUGGUUGAAUUACUCUAGUCUUUUAUAAAAGAAUCAUAAUUCAAUUUAAGUCCUUUUAAUAGCUUGUAUGGAUUUUUAAUUUUAGGCUUCUAUAUAAAGCAGAACAUAUUUAAAGCACGUGGAACAAAUUGCAAGUGCAUCUAUACAAAUCGUGUUAAAUUUAAAGUGCUAAAAAAAUUAAAUACUCCUAAAUUUUUUUCAAGUGCGUUAGAAUUGAAUUAUGAAAAUUUGAAAAUAUCAAAGUGUAACUUUAUCAUGUGAUUUCAUCAUUUUUGAAGAGGCUAAACAGAAAUCUUUUCAUUUUCGGAGGCUACGAACUUUUAUUUUCAUCAUUUAACUUGUCUCACUUGUAUUUACCUCUAUUGACCUUAUCUAUGUUUUUUACACAUUCGGUCUGAACUAUCUAUGCGUUAAGCACAAACAUAUUUACAUAUUCAAACUUGCAUUUAACACCUAAAAUACCCAUUAGUUUGACAUAAGGAUCUAAUUGAUAUAAUAUUAAAACUUUGAGAACUUAACUAGAACAUCCUAAUUUUGAGUACCAAUUUAAAAUAUUGCAAUAGUUAAGGAUAUGCUUUGCUAUUAACCCAUUAAAGUAUCAGAUUGAUUAAGAACUAUUUAAUUAUCAAUUUUAUUUUUUAUUUUGUUUUGCAAUUAAAAAUAUUUAUUAAAGUUUGAGUGUACGUUAAUGUGUUUUGACAAAACUGUCGGUGAUGUAGGACACACCAAUAAUGGAGCAAAGAACGAUAAUUCGAAGAAUGGACGGCCGGGAUUUGAUGUGACCGCAAAAAGUUGAUGCCUGACAUAUGUAUUUUAAUGAAGACACGUGUAUAGUCAACCAGACAAGUGGAUUUGAUGUUAAGAUUAGUGGGCGGAAAACGCCCCUGGCUGACGUGGAGAGAUUAUUAUGAUAUUAUAAAUAGUAAUAAAAAAAAACAGAAAGAAAUAUAUCUGAUAAGGAAAGAAAGGAAGAUUUGUCACGUAAUUUUAUUUAUGGGCAAUGUUUGCUAAAAUAUUAGAUAAAUGUAAAAUAUUUAAUUAAAAAUUAUUUCAUAAAUUGUUUAAUAAAAAAAUAUUGAAAAUGAUAACUGGAUAAGAAUAACUUAUCUCUAUCCCUUAAUAAAAAUAAAUUUUAUUUAUUUUUUAAAAUUAUAUUAUCUUUUUAAUAUUUCACGGUUGAUCUAUUCUUACAAUUUUUUGAUAAUUUAAAAAAAAGCAUAAACCUUCAAAUUAAAAUAAAAAUUCUUGUAUUUUUUUAAUAUUUAAGUUUAUUUUCUAAAUUAACUCGUGUUAAUUGUAAAAUAAUUUAAAUUAGUUGUUUUUUUUAAAGAGGUUCACUCGAAUUUUACGUUGUUAUUGAUGUAAUAUUUAGUUUUCAGGAAUUAAUGUUGUGUUUAUCAAUCCCGCCUAAUUUUAAAUUUAGUAAAAGUUUUUAAAUAAUCCUUGUUAAUAUUUUAUUAAUGGUUUUAAGUUUUAACGAUAUUUUCUAUGAUUAUUGAUUAAUAUAAAGACAGCUGAGAUAUUUGGAUACGAUACGCAAAGUUGAUACUGCAAACUACUGAAAGCACGAAUGGAAAAUUGACACGUAUUACACGUGAAACGUGAUUAAAAUUAAGACCGAAAUCAAUUACUGGAUAAUUAUCAUGUGACGCAUUUACUUUCGUCAAGCAUAAAGUUCAGAUUGAUUAACAAAAAUACGCAAGUAAAAUAAUUGUUUUAUGCACGUGCAGACCCUGAAAUUUAAGUUUUAGGAGUUCGGUGAAAAUUUAAAAAAAAAAAAUUGAGGGUCUAAUUGAGAUUUUCAUUUCAAGCUUUAUGCAUAUGCCAAAUGCUCCAAACAUUUCAAUUCAAGCAUGAAAAUUUUCGUGUUAAUUCUGCAGUGGUGCUGUAUUUUUUAUUUGACCCACACCUGCUACAUUGAUAUCAAAGGCUAAGGGGAACAAAAGAAAGUAAGAGGGGAGGGGUUAAAAAAAUUCUAUACAAAGAUCGGCUCUGUCAAAAUUCCGUACACCCCUUACCAUCAGGAUCGAACAACAAUCGGACUCAACCUGAGUAAACCUUGCUGCAGGGAUUUAAAAGAAACUUACCGGCCGUAAGAGCUGUGAACUGAAGUUGCACGAAAAACUGCCACAAUAUAUACAGCAGAAGCAAAAAAAAUAGUGUUACCGCUCACAGCUCUCCUGUUAGUACUUUCCCUGAAGUCAUCAUCACUGAGAAAGGAAAAACCGGAUCCAUUCCAGGGAAAAAAUUGUCAGUUGUUUAGGUAUUCUUCAAAUUCCGAAACUGCGUGGUGCUGGCUAAAUUUUGUUCUUUCGACACAUAUUUCAUUGGAUAAUUCUACCCGUCACCAUUUACAAUGUCGGAAGAUGCUUUGAUUGCCUCUGCAGUCAUGAGAGCAACAACGGCCUUGUGAAUUGCUAGAUCUGCUCUGAAAAGCAAUCUCUGAGCUCUUUCUCUCUUGAACUUGGCCAUUUUAAGUGCGUGCCGGGCUGCACUAGCUGCAUCCCGAUAUCUGAACUCGUCGGUAUCAGGGUUAUCCAACUGUUCGGGGCCGUGCCUUUGUAAUCCAUCUGAGAAGUAAUGAUGCAUGCUUGGCCACUCUGAAAAGGCCAUGCUCUGCUGAUGAAUCCCAUUUCUCUUGCCAAUUAGUCUCUGACUAUAUGAAGUCGUCAUUUGGGACUCGUUUGGUGAUAGAAAAGUGCAAAUUUUCUUUGACUCGCUUCUUCGAAGUUUCUGAUGAUGAUGCUUAUCAAAUCCAUCCCUAAAAUAUCCCUUGAUACCUGAAUCUAGUUGUGAAAAUACUCUUGGCGAUGCCUGAAAUAGCGGGGAAUCUUCUAAAGAUUCAUAGUUAUGCAGAGGAUAUAGAACCUUUUCAUCCCCAAAUAGGAACCCGUUUGAUCUUCGGCCUGAAAUGAUCACAAAUGAAGUCCAACUCUUAAAAGAUAACAUCAUUAUAUAAAGCCAGAUGGAAGUGAAAUAAGUAAAGAACAUUACCGAAAGAAUGGAAACCUUCAUGAUCUCCCAAUGCAGGGUUGAUUUGACCAGAAACUGAAAUUUUCCGCUGGGAUCUUUGUUUUGACCCUCUGUUUGGAACUUGCAAGCCACGGGGUUUCAGACAGAAAGCAAACAUGGGUGGCUUCUCGACGGCAUUGGACGGAAUAGAGCUAACUUUAGACAUGGUUAGCUCCCACUCUCUCACUUGCUGUUCGUACCUUUCCCACAAUGGUGGCUGAAUGACAACAGAAAAUUUUAUCAAGAGUUAGAGAGCAAAAAAUGUUUUAAGAUAAAACAAACCCAUAACAUGAACAACAAACAGGCCACGGUGAAUGUGGUACAAUUCUCGGGCCCAUACACCUUAUGCUGCAGGCCACAAGGGGCUGAUUUCAAAAGCAAAUCCCUGAUCUAAUUCUAAAGGAGAACAUGAAAAGUUGAAUGAAAAGAGAAGAAAUCCAUAAGCUUCACACCUAGGGUUCUAUAGGAGUCAACCACAAAUUAUCUGUCAAUAAUCUAUAUCUCAAUAAAAGGAGUACAUCGAUUUAUAAUGCAGCAAAUCAAUGAAAAACAUACCUGGAGAUGCCGAAUUAAAGGCAUUCCAACUCUUUGCCUCUUCUCCCGCCAAUGCUCAUAGACAGCUGUGAUUACUUCCAUGGACCCAACUCCAGCCAUGAGCUCUUCUAUUUCAUCAGAAUUAAACUGAUCACACUGUUGAGUAUAUGCAGCCUUCUCAAACAUGUCCAUAACCUUCUCAAACAUUUCGUCAGAAAAUUCCAAUGUGCUGCAGCUACCAUCACUCUGUGAAGAUCUAUGAAUUCCUGAAAUCCACUGUUCAUCAUCAGUAUCCAUGUCAUAAAAAACAUGGGAUGGAUCCAAAGCCAUCUCGACAUCAGUUUCAACCUGCCGCAAGUACUUGAAAGAACUGCGAACAAAUGUCACAUCAGUUGCAUUUUCAUCAUAGUCAUGUACCAAGCAAACUCCAGGAAUAGGUAUGUUCUUAACUGAAGCAGCACGAAUGUUUCGGUUGUAGCACUCUUCAUGCAUAUCCUUGAAAAUAGCCCACUGGCUCCUGUCAGUGAACUCCAAGAUCCAAUCCUUUCCUCCUUUCCACAUCAUAGCAUGUGUGUAACGAUUGGUAGAUCCAGGCUGCAGAAACUGAUGCGCCUUGUAAGAGCACCUUGUUGACCCUGACAUUUUCACAGCCAGCUUCCAUUCAUUACGAUCAAUACGUUCUAGAGCAACCUGUGCUCCACAUUCACGCCAUCCUCUGUCACCAAGGGUAAGUAACAAAUUUGCAUGACAAGAUACUAACUCCAUGUUUUUUUGAGAACCUCUAGAAACAUCAGAUGAUCUCUUCUCAUUUGCCCUCCUAAUUCGCUUGUGAGGAAGACCUCUCUGGUGGUCACCUAUAUUCUUUGAACUGUAAUCUAAACCUCCAAAGGGCAUUGAAUAUGAUACCUGAGUUCGUGGUUUCUUAGGUCCAUUUCCAAAAUUAUUGUGGAAGAAAUCAGCCUUUCCAUCUGACCAUCUAUGGGCAUGAUAUCCAAUCGAUGAACUACUUCUAUUUCGAUGCCAAUAACUUCUUGGAGCAGUAGGAUUAGGAGUUGGGAUAACACCACCAUUCAUAUUCCAAGUCAAAUCUGUAGACCGUUGAGUGCUGGGUAAUUUGCUGUCAACAUGAACUUUAUAUUGAUCAAAGGGUGGAAGCUCAACCCUAAUACCAUUCAAAACGGAACUAGACCCUGAACCCUUCUUACAACCAUCAACAACCUUUGACGACAAAAACGGUUGCUGAGACUCUGAAUAGUCACAUUUUUGCUUCUCUAAUUGACCAAUGGCUGAGGCUCCAACUUCUUCAGGUUUAUGAUAGAUGGCAGGACUUCCAUUUACAAUUUGAUCACUAUUUGCAUGCUUCUGCAAGGACUUUCUCCAACGACCAUCACUAGAAACUGAGAGAUCAAGAGUCAUUAACUCAGUGACGGAAGCAACCUUUGAUGAAGCCUUUAGAAAAUUUCCUAAACAACUUUCGAAACUUUUUUUCACACAGUCCUCUCUAUUAGAGUUUUCAUCCAACAACAAAUUGCCAGAGCUUUCUGGAUUCUCAAUGGAGUCAUGAUCCUGAAAGCUGAUGCGAGCAACACAAUAAUCCAUAAGUAGUUUAAGAUGCAAACUGAUAAAGAAAGUAGACGCAGCACCAAAAGAAAGAGUAAACAGAGGAAGAUUUUUGUUCUGUUUCUCAGAACUGGAAGAAAGUUGGCCAACUUCCAGACAACUAUAUCCUCUGGAAACACCCAUACGGCUGAGACCCUGCCUAUAUCUUCUCCUUGAGCCCUGUUCAAUAGCAAACAAAUUCAAAUAUUUAAUAGCAGCCGCAAAACAAAAGAUAGACAUUAGAUAUCUAACCAUACAGCAAAAAAUAUAAAAAUAAACACCACUCCAGAACCCAUGGCUGAUAGUUAAAUCACCAGCAAGGACUUGCAUGGUAAAAAUAAAACUAACAUGGCCUUUCUUUAGCAUGGAUUUCCUUUCUUCCCUUCUUUUUGCAAGGGCAAGUGUGGUUUUUAGGGGCAAAUAACAAAAGAAAAAAUAUAUAUUUCUUUUCAUCAGAAGACUACACUCACAAGUAAAACACAUACGCCAAAAGAACACCUUUGACAUUGAGAUUUCAAUAGCAAAGCAACAUGGGGAAGAGUCAUACCUCAAGCGAUGAGGAGCCUUUGUAAGGAGAACUAAACAGCUGGUUAGUUCCAUUCUGAAGCGCCUUAAUGUUAUCAUAAGUGCACUCAGACAGAGGUAAUUGCCUAUUGAGCACACAAUAUCUUUUCAGCUUACAAUCCAAAAACAUCCAUUUGAAAUGCUUCACUUCAUGAAAAUAACAACAGGCAAAGACAAUCUGCUUCCUAAAAUCUUGAGUCAGAGAAAAUUUGAACCUGAUCGAAGUUACAGGCACCCGCACAUCAGCAAACUUCCCCAGUUCAGCAGAUCGAUAAAAUACCUUCAGGACCUGGAAAAUAAAAGCUACAGCUUCCUUCAACGAUCCUUGAAACAGGAGAAACCUUAGUCCAACUUCAUUAUCAACAAAAAGGACCUCUAGAUGAACAAUUGGCCAGAUAGUCAUCACCGUACCACACUGAAGCAGCAACAAUGAAUGAACUAGCCAAAAGCUUUUCACUCCAAAUAAAUUAUUGACAGAGAGCAUGGGGAAGCUCAAUCCAAACCUGAACUGUUUCGAAUGUAAUAGCGAAAUAUUUAAUUGUAACUGCCCUGCAUUAUCAGUAAACAACAGAUCUCCUUCAGGAUCCAACCGUCCAAGACAAACAUUAAGUUCUCCCAAAUCCCGAAAGUCAUCAACAGAGCCAAGAAAAGUGAUAGGUUUAGACACCAUGCUGGCACCACAAGUGCUUUCAGAAGCCUGCCACAAAACUUUCUCUGUCCUGCGAAAUCUCCUUCGAAAAUAAACGAUAGGAUGUUUACCGUCUUUAGGGCAACUACCCAAAGAAGAAUCCUCGAUGAUUCUACCAUCAACAGGUCUAUCUGACAGUGCAGAGGAACCAAACAAUUUAACUUUUCUUGCUUUCAAGGAACCCCCGUGAAGACAACCGUUUUCAUCCACAGCUUCAUCACAAGACAAUGGUUGCCGAUGAAAACUACAAGAAGCAGAUGUUUUCUGUCUCUUCACAGCAUGCAAAGGUAGGGAUUUGACACGACGGCUAGAGCGCGCCAACCAGGAUAUGAUGGGUUCUGACUCCAUAUAGCUACCAUUACCACUGUCAUCUUCUUUCAUGGCAUUUCUCUUCCGGUUCUCUUUGUUGAGCUUCAUGUUCCUGAUUCUAUCACCAGUGUCCCCAACACCCUGAGAUCUUUUUGGCUCAGAUUUGUUGGGAACUUCACUUGGAAAAAGCAGGAGUUUAAAUCUCUCUUCUUGUAAAUUUACCCAUUCCUCAUCACGGUCAUCAUAUUUUACAUGGUGAAGUUUUCUCUCUUUGUCAUAAUCAUUGACAAAGCCAUAAUACCAACUCUUGUCCAAAGGCCAAAACACCUUAAUUUUUCUAUUUAACACCCAGUUUGCAUCCAAAUCUCCAGAGAAAAUUUCAUAAAAGUGGCGCCUUUUCCUUGAAUUGCCUUUCUCUCCAUGUCUUUCCCUUGGUCUCAAUACCCUACCAGAAGCAUCGAGAGAGGGAGAUUCACAACCAGAAAAUUUCUUAGACCUAGAACUAGCAUCCCGACCAGAAGCUAAGAGAAAAGAUAAUUCAUUCUCAGACGGUGAUAAAGAGACUUUGCUGUUCAAAGAAAAGCCAGUACAACUUGGGUCAAACCGUGAUGAUAACAUCCUCGCUGCAUUCUCUUCAAGAUUCUCUUCAUCAUCAUCUUGCAAAUCACCAAAUGGCUUUACAGAAGAAUCUACUAAUCUCUCAACCUUCUUAGCAAAAGAUUUGCCACCUUUUACUGUAUCCUUCUUCUUCCUAGGCUUUCUUCUUGAUCUUUUUAAAGAAGAAUCACCAUCAUUUACAGCUGAGUGACCAGCAACACUAUCUUCUUCCUUCAAAUGCUGAACUGAACUUGGCUCACUGCUUCUACUUUCCUUAAAAUCAUCAAUAAGCUUCUCUUCUUCAACCUUCAAAGACACAUUCUGAGUGCUGGAAUCUUCACUGGCUAACUUCACAUCCUCACUAACACCAACAACUACACUACUAGGUCGCCCAUCUGGCUUCAAGACUUGACCACUCUCAAACUUGUUUCGCCCCACAAACCCACGUUUACGCCUGGGAAUACUAGUACCACUGUCACCCAAACUAAGUGAAAUGCCAUUAGCACUGUAACCAUUCUUUGAUUUUUGACUCAAACCAAACUUCUUCAAGCUUUCUGGACCAUGCAGCCCAGAACAAACACCCCCAUCAUAAACUUCAGUUAAACUCUUGCUACUACUACUAUCAUGGUUGGUUCUAAAACUACUGAGAGGCAGAGCUUUCCUACUCUUCUUUCUCUUGUUAUUAAUAGUACUCCUCUUCUCAUCAUCACCUUCUUGUGAACUUUCUUUCCUCUUCAAGCUCUUAUUUUUAAAAAACUCCUUUGAAUCACCAGAUUCAUACAAACUCUUAAGAUCCAAAGAUCUUGAUUUCUUAGGAAUUUCCGCUCCAUGAGAGUUCAAUACUCUAUUUUCCAUCAACAACCCCUCAAUGCAAACAGGGAAACCCCAAUCUCCCACUUUUUAGUUUUUACAUUUACCCAUCAUGCAUGUUUUAGAUCUGUAAAACCAAAAAUGCACCCAAAAUUGACCAAAAAUGAAAAAAAAUAAUCUCUCAAAUUUCCCAUAAAUUAGCCAAUCAAUCCCAAUACCUAUAUAUUCAAAUGAUUCUUUAAUAAAUUAAACUAUUAACAAAUAAACGCUAUAAAGUUCAUUACUUACCUGAUCGAUGUAUCAGAAAAAAUCAAUUUCUCCGCCGAAUCAUGAAAAUCAAGAGUGUUAUCGUAGGCUAGGGUUUGAAUCCUCGAUAGAUUUUUCGAAUUUUUUUUUAUUUUAAUUUCUCUAUAAUUUUGUUUUCUUUUUUUUUUUUUACCGUGACAAACGGAAAAUCCUAGGGCUUCUUUAGAUUGCAAAAUGAUAAAAAUUAUAUAUACUAGGCUAUUUUAUUUUAGCUACGUGGCGAUAUACUGGCCGUCGGAUUUACAUUGUGUGGUGAGAUAUGGUUUCGAUUGUUUAAAGCUACUUGAUUAACGAACGGCGACGAUUGAGUUUACUGAAAAGUGGACGGUUUAGAUUUUGCAGGUACAAAAGAGAGGUGUGGUAGUUAAGCGGCUCCAUUUUGCUAAAACUGUAAAUUAAAAGAGGAGAAAGAAAAAAGUUUUAUUCCUCAUUUCCAUUUUCGUAUUGGUAAAUUAACCCUGAUGUUUCCAUAAAAUAUAAAAAAUGCCAUCGAUUUUAUUUUAUUUUUAAGUGAGUAGGCGCCAUUACGGGAGUGAGAAAAGCCACUCGCUAUCUUGAUGCGUAAAAGGUAUUCGCUUUAACAAAUGGAAACGUGGCGGAAGGAUUUGAUCAUUGCUUACGUGUACAGUUAAAACGGCGAGUUUGUCGUCGUGGCGCGUUGGAGAGAGGCAGUGCUACGUUAAAGCUAGUAACUGUUUAAACGUCCUGCACAGUGACUUGAUGGAAACGUGAGAAGUUUAAAUUACACGAAAUUUGCUUGUAAUUACACUUUUGUCCAACAUUAAAUGUUAUUUCUCCCGCCAGAACACUUCGUUACCACACGACCCAACCUGACUGACCUGCUUUCAACUGGUUUUACCGAGGUUUUUUAAGCUGAAUUGGUGGUGGAAUCCACGGGUGAUCGGUUUAUUCAUUCUAUAUUAGUUAGUAGAGUUUAAUUAAAUAAAUUAUUAAAAAUUAUAAAAAUAAAAAAUUUAAAUAUUUGAUUUAAUUGAUUUCUAUCUAUUCUCGAAUCAAUUAAUUUAAUGUUUUCUCCAAAUCAAUACUCUAAAUAAUUCUCGAUCCGAUUCAAACAAUAUUAAAUUUUACACGAAAUUUAAAUUAAAUGUUUUUGCAUUUAAAUUUUAUUAUAAAAAUAUAUAUUAAAUAUUGUAAAUGAUUUUUUUAUUAAGUGAAGAAACGUUACAAAUUAGUAAAAUAAAGUGUAGUAAAGAGAUAGCGAAAAAGAACAUCAAAACAAACCUUAGAAAAUAAGUACAGUGGUUAUGUAAACAAUAAGAGGCUAAAAAGGUUAAGAGUUAUGGCUGCCGUAGAUAUAAUAAUAAGAGAGAUAUGAAAAGAAUUCUAGAGCGCUCAAGUUUACAAAAAAUUAAAUAGUUCAAAAUAAAACGCUUAUAUGCCAUAAAAAAUUUAUCAAAUGGUUAUAAUAAUGAUAAAAAGUGGGAACCAUUGUGCUAAAAUAGUGGGUAGUGAAAUUGAGAGUGAUUAGCAAAUUUGGAUAAUGGAUUAGAAGAUAUACAAAUAGGGGAGAUAAUGAUAGUAUCAAAAUAAUAUAAAAUGAUACCUAUAAUUAAAGAGUAUGUUAUUUUUUACGGACAUCUCCUCUUUUAUUUUGGAGGGGUGGGGGUAUUAGGCCUUUUAAGAAAACUUGUCUUGUAACAUUCUAAAAAUUGAACGUCGAAUUUGAGCCACAUCAAAGAUUGAAUAAAUAAAUUUUGUUUACUAUGGUUGUUUAGUGUGGAAUAUUUAUUCACCGUAAUGACUCAAUUUCUAUCAAUGUUGGAACAGUCAAUUUCGAUAUUAAAUUUACUAUUUGAACUAUCCGAAAAAGUUAAACCAAAGAAUUCAAACCUAUUAUGAGAUUAAGAAAUUAAUUAUGUUAUGCAUGGCAUAUAAUGUUUUUACUGAGUUGUAAUUAAACAUGAAGCUUAUGUUUAAUUUCUUAGCUCAACCAUCCGUUGUAAUGAUUUUACUAAGUUUAGUUACGUAUGGCAUAUAUCGAAGUCAUUAUGAAAUAUUUUGGAGUCUUUAUAAUAUUUUGAUUUUUAAAUACGGUAAUGAUGCCUUGUUGAAUAGUCAGAUGAUUUUGAGUUUAUUUACUUUAUAGCAUAUGGAAAUAUAAAUAUGAGUAUCUAAAGUUUAGAUGAAUGGUUAGUUUAAUUGGACUAGUCACAUUGAAAUUAGUGACAUGAUUUUUAGAUAUUUGAUUGCAAUUAAACAUGUUUAAUAGGUGUGUAUUAGGUUAAAGUAAGUUAAAAUGGUCAUUUUGUCAUAAAUUUAUGGAGUGUAAUUUAAUUUAAGUAAUUAAAAUGCGUAUCUAGUUGGUUUAAUUUUUUUACUUACUAAUGUUAAUAUAAGAUACAUGGUUUUCCAUGAUUCUUAAGUUAUUGAUUGUGUUUUACAUGUUAUGAUGUGUUCUGGGUUUGGUGUAAUGUUUUGACAUCAUUUGUUUGUUGAAAAAGUUGCAUUUUUGGUAGCUAGGUCUCCAGGCACAUUAGUCAUGUCUCGAGACAGUAUGAUAAAAAAUGGCAAAAUGGUGCUUUUUUGGGUAAUGGUCUAGAGACUGAAUAAGCAUGUGUCAAGACAUGGUUUGCAUAGCCUAAAUACAAGGAUUUUGUUAUCUCGAGACGAGUCAACAUCGAGCCUAAAAUAUAUUUUGCCUUGUUUUAGGUCUCGAGAUAAGAAUCCCUUAAUCUCGAGACAUUCAAACAUCAAAUUUAAGGGUUUAAAAUAGGGGAACUAAGUCUCGAGAUAAGAACUUUAAUGUCUCGAGACACAUUGUUAAAUUUGGUUCAUUGAGUUUGGAUUCGAAUCCUAACUUCACAUUUGAUCAUGCUUAAUUAUAAUAAACACUUUAUAUGAGUUUAUUUGACAUUAAUUCAUUAUGUUUAUGCAUAAUUUUAUGAUCGUAUGAAAAUUAUUAUGAUUGUAUAUCAAAUUGUUUAAUGUAAUAAUUUGAAAUAGUUUGAGUUGCUUCAACAACGUAAUGUAAUGCAUGUCAUGCACUUGAAUUUAAAUUCAUAACAUUACAUCAAGGUUAUUAAGCUAGAUUAAGUCCACGGGAGAGAAAGAAAAAAUCAAGAAGGAAAAUAGACACUUUAACAAUAUAUAAAAAUGAAACAUCAAAACAAGGAUGUAGCAACAUCACUUCCUAAAAGCAUGUAUUAGUUAUAUAAGUAUUUCUAUACCUUUCAAGUAUAGGUCUAAACUUAAGGCCAUACCAAUAACAUGGUCCAUUCCUAGCUUGCAGUGUUUGAGAAAUGUGUCUAUAUUAUAGUAAACAUAUAACUAUUUUUUAUGUAUUUGAACUAUGAAUAAGUAAAUAAAAUUUAUUUCACAUUUCACUAUUAUAUCUUUAGUGUUUGUCAUUCAUGUUUUGCAUACAUUGCAAAAUUGUGACAAGCAAAUAUUAAUUUAUUGAUUGUCUGAGUUAAAACUGAUGAUAAGUGGCACUGUAAGAACAUUUACAUUGCAAGAAAAACAACUUACUUCAGUAGAUAAUCUAAAUGAGUCUGAAAUCCUAUAAAAUAAUCAAAGUGAGCAUUUGUUUCAAAUACUUAGAAGAUUAUUAUGUUGUCUACAAUUCUAAUUGGGGAGUUGACUAGUAUUGGCUAUCAGAGCAGUUGACUCUACGGGUAGAGACAUAAUUUUAUUCAUUAGAAGAAUAAUACAUUGGACUAGACCCAAGAUGAAUCAAUUUUGAAUUUAUUUGAAUUAAUUUACUUGUUACUUUUAUAGUGUGAUUUAUCAAAAUCCUGAGUUAGUCAUUGAUCAUGUGUUUUUAUAUAAGUGGAGUCUUAUACUUUAAAGAUGGUUGAGCCCAUUGUUGGUAUAUUGAGUAUAUAACUUAUGUAUGGAAUGGUUUUACUAGCAACAAUGGAAUUCAUAACUCAAUUAAAGAGUUAAACGACAUUCUUUCAUUAACAUUGUGUGGAUUGAUAAAUAUGAAACAUGACUACAAGUUGUUUGUUCGAGAACAAGCAAUUUAUCACAGUCAUUUGUUGACAAUGGUCAUAUUAAUCAUUAAAAAGACACAAUGAGAUAAAAUAAUAUUGUAUUGAGUGAACGAAUUUAACUCAAAUGAAUCAAUGAUAUCAUAAGAGGGUAACACAUACAUGACGAGGUCAUUUGGCAAAGUAGUUAGAUGAAUUGCUUUCUUAAAAAGUAUAUAAUAAGGAGUUUUCAAUCAUAGUAUUUCUUGUGGAGUGACUCUAUGAUUAAAUAAAUUACGAAUUAUCGGAACGAUGCUUCCGAAUAUAAUUGCAAUUACUAUAGCCUAAUUGUAUAUGUUCGAUUGGUCCCUUCUGCUAGCUCAAUAAAAUUUCAAUUUGACUACAUUUGAAUAAGAAUGAAAUUCUACGACUUCGGAAAUAAUUUAAUUGAAUCGAUUUAUUUAAUGUGGAAUUGAAUUGGGUGAUUGUGAGAAUUGUUCAACUAAAGAAUUUAAUUAAAGAAUUUUCUUGAAAAAUUAAUUUUCUAGUGGUUAUUGGUAAAAUUAAUUUUAAUAAAGUAAAUUUAAAUUACUCAAAUUAAUUAAAAUAAAUAUGAUAUUUUGAAAAUUAAUUUUCUGACUCUCAAUGGGUAAUUGAACUUGAAAAUUGAAUUUGAGAUUGAAAAUUGGGCUCGAAAACCCAAAAUUGAGACCCAAAACUGGUUGAAUCGGACCCGUCAUUAGGCCCGGACUGAACCGGCAACGACUGAACUGACAGUAGUCGAACUAGCUUAGGGUGUUGCAGCUGCGAUGACACUAUUGGACACGAUGGUGCCGGCAGCCACAAAGACAUUCCGGUAGUCGGUGGGUUGUCCUUCAGCAAUUUAGCAAUGGAGGAAUCACAUUUCUAUCGGAUAAUUUGAUUUCAAAUUAACUAAUCCAAAAAUAAUAUUAUUUUAAUAUAUUAAAUAUUUGUCUUGUAGAUAAGUAUUAUACUAAUUUAAUAUUAAAGUGAUUAAAUUUAAUUGCAGUUGAACUAUCUAAUUUCUCUCUAUAUAAAGAAAACUAUCGGUUAUUAUUUUUCACUUACAUGAAUUUAAGAGAUAGAUAUAGAGAGAAAAUUAUCUGAAUAAAUUAUUUGAGAAAAUCUAUGAAAUUAUUAUUUUUAUUUAUAACUUAAUCCUAGAGUUUAGAGAAAUUGUAAAAUUGCCAUAUUGCUCUGAUUCGAAGUGAGCUUAAAUUCGGCAUAUGUGAAUAAGCUCCUAAAAGAAUAAGGUUGAAAUAGUUUAAUGACUUAAACAAUAAAUUUAGAAUAGUUUAGUGACAAACUUGAGAUUUUUUAAAAUUGAGUGGUUAAAGUAUAGGACAUUUUUUUGGCAUAAUUUACCCUUAAAUUUAUGAAUAAAAUUGAAGGAUCUUCUUAUAUGUUAAGCAGCACAAUGGCCCAAAUUCUAUAGUAAAAUUCCUUUCUAUUGCAUCGUUGCCUUCCCUAUUACCAUUGCAAUUUCCCUGUUUAAAGCCACAUCCGGAAAUUCUUCGCUUUCAAAUUCGCCCACCAAUCGCAUUCAUCUUUUACUCGUUGCAAAUUAUUAGCAUUUUUAUUGAUAUCGAUGUCGAUUUCGAUCUAAAUCUGGACCUUCAAUUUCUUCUCCUAUUGAAAAAAAAUUCGAGUUUAUACGACAAUAUUCGUUCCAAAGGUUGAGCUGGUAUGAGAUAUUUCGGUGUCAGAUCUCUUCAGUUUGAAGUAAGAAUCUUCGUCCAUAUCCCUAAUUCCUGCUCAAUUGCAAAGAAAAGCGACGGAAUUAUGUUUUUUUUUUUAAAAAAAAUCCUUUUCAUUUUCUUUCCAGGGAAUCAGAUGUUAGAUUAGAGACUUCUUUUUUAAAGAUCGUGGAGGUUAAUUAGAAAAAAUGAAAGCAAAAGCGGUACAAUCGUCAUUUAGGGAUCGGACGCAAGAAUUUCUGAGCGUGUCGGAGAGGUUAAGGAAGUCGAUCACGUCUGGAACGAGCCAAAAUGGACCGAGUAGCAGUAGUUCGAGAGCGGAGGAAAAGAGAUCUGUGGUUGCGCAUCAAUCUGAGUUUAAUAGGAGGGCUUCGAAGAUUGGAUUUGGGAUUCAUCAGACUUCGCAGAAGCUUUCAAAGUUAGCAAAAUGUAAGUACUCAUAUCUGCUUCAUUUAAUCAUUUGGAAUUGGUUUUCUUCAAAAGGAAUGUUUAUAUGGUAUAUCGUUUUUAGAAAAAAAUGAAGGUAAGCUAGGCAUGGGUUAUUUAAAUCCUGAAAUUUAGCUUCUCCGAGCGUGUAGCUUAGUAUUUAGGAGCUUCUAAGAGGAGUUAUAGAUUUAAUGGACUUAUGGGUUGUGUAAAAAUGAACUUAGAUACUUGAAACUAUUUCAGUCAAACAAUAUAUGGGAAGAAUGUGCUUGAAACAAUUCAAAGCUCCUGUUGGGUCAAAAAGUCUCUUAAGAGUAUGAUUUUAAAGAAAGAUGUUCAUUGAUGCUUUAUUUGGUAUCAAGUGUGGAAAAGUGUAAGGCUAGAAUAUUCAGAGGCAACAAAAAGUGAAAGGAAUGAAAAUAUAUUUUGUUUCUUUCCACUAUUGUUAAUAGGGUAUCCGUAGCACCGAUAUAAAUGGAGGAUUAGUUGAACUGUUGGCUUGUGAUUUUUAAGAAUGAUGGAAAUUAAAAUGUUAUUUCUAAAGAAUGCUUGAUAAAAUUGAAAAGUGAAAGAAAAAUGAAAACACAUGGUUUAUCCUUUAUAACCUUUUCAAGUGAGGUGUAGAUAGAAGGGCAAACAUUUUUACAAAGGUGAGUAAGUUUUUACAUUUUGCAGCAGUAAACUUACACCAUCAAAUAUUCACUCCCUUAAGAUUUGUAAUUUGAGAGGAUUGAUUUUUGUUAAUAUGGGCAGGGCCAGUUCGGUCCUAACCAACUUCCCUUUUUCAAAAGUCAACCUCAAAUCAGCCUUGGUCGCCCAUUUAUAUAUUAUUUUGGUAUAAAAAUAGUAUAAUGUUAUUUUAUUACCAAUAUCCAAAAUAGUUUUCACAUAAUAAAUAAAUUUAUUAUUUAUUAAAACAAUAAUUUAAUCGGGUCAGACACUUGCAUAAGCUCUAAAGUAUGGACCUAAUUGGUCUCGCCUGUGGGCUUGGGUGGGUUGCCAGCCACAUGAGCACCUGCAGGAAAUGGCAAUGGCUUUUGUUGUCUUUCUGACCAAGAAUGAGGCAAAAUCAUUUUCUUUCCUCUUUUUCACCUUCUCCUUUUCUGCCUGACAAACUCUUUAAUGAUACCAGUGAGUAAUGAUAUUUGUUUGGUUAUGUUUAUUGUACAUGAUAUUUAUGGUGUACAUAGUGGAUUAGGAAAUUAUUCAUUUGUCAAAUACUCAAAUUGUACUUUGCUUACAUCUAUGGAAAAGUGGUUUUAAAUUAGUUUAUUCAUUGGUCAUCCUUGAACUGAAACAAAUUACUCAAGAUUAUGGUCACAGUAAGAGAAACUUCAUUAUCUUUUUGUUUACAGUUUUACUGCUGGAUUAUUGUGUAUAUCCUCGAGUACUACACUUUAAGCAGAUAUUAUGCUAUGCAGAAACUUCCAUAGUCAAAACCAUGAACUUUUUCCGUUUCCCCUUCUUUUUCCCGUCUUUGGUUUGAUAGGAAUUGAAUUAACAAUUGUUAGAACUUGAUCAUAAGAACUGAAGUAGCAAGUUGUCCAAUCUUGGUUGUCUUGGUUUAGGUCAUACUAUUGCUGUAGCAAAACUUGAUGAAAUCCAGUGUGCACAACUGUCAGUAACAUAUUAUAGAAGACAAAAAGACCAGAUAUUUGUAGGAGUUUAUUAUUAUUGUGAUACUAAAAAAAAAAAAUCCCAUAUUUUACUUUUCAGUGGCCAAGAGGACUUCAGUUUUUGAUGACCCUACUAUGGAAAUUCAAGAGCUCACUGCAGUUAUCAAGCAGGAUAUCACUGCCCUUAAUUCUGCUGUGGUAGACCUGCAACUUUUCUGCAAUUCUAAAAACGAAGGUGGUGUCUCCAGUGACACAUCUAGUCAUUCAACCACAGUUGUCGAUGACUUGAAGAAUCGCUUAAUGAGUGCCACAAAAGAGUUUAAAGAUGUCCUCACCAUGCGAACAGAGGUAAGGCUGAGUUUUUCAGUCUAUUUGCUUUGUUUAAUUUGAUCUGUUUUGCUACUGUUCCUUGUAGUAAUGUCAUUGGCAAUUGAUUCCUUUGACUGGCAAUCAAAUUGCGUUGUCCAGAAUUUAAAGGUUCACGAGAAUAGAAGACAGUUAUUUUCUUCCACUGCUUCAAAGGAUUCUCCAAAUCCUUUUAUACGGCAGCGCCCCCUGGCUGCCAAAUCAGCGGCAGGAGCUUCAAACAACCUUCCUCAAUGGGCUAAUGGGUCUGCAUCUUCAUCUCAGUUGUUUCCAAGGUAACAGCUUAUUCAGAUGAUCUGCAGUUAAGCAACUUUCCCUUUGGUACAUGUAACAUGCCUUAUUAACCGCAUGAAAUAAUAUAGCACUUACAAUAAUUACUGAAUUUUUGGAAUUUGCAAGUCCAUUUAAUGAUGAACUUGUUACUGGAUAUGGAACAUUUUGUCAUUGGCCGAACCUACAUUAGGAAAGGCCAUUAAUUUCAAUUUUCUAAUUAAGGCUUAGGUUGCGAUUUGAUUUAAUUCCUUAGGUUUCUUGAUUUUGAUUUUCUUUCGGAGAAUUUAUUUUCAUUUUAGAAUAAGUUUCCUAUUUAUGUAAUAAGACUAGUCUUUAUUUAAAUGGACUUAUGGAAUGCUAAACCCCAAGCAGAAUUUCUAUAGAAGGCCCUAAGGAGUUUUAGAUUUGCAUCUCUCUAAUGAGUCUUAAUGUUUUAGUCUCCCUUUGAUGAACUGAACUAUCAAUCACUAUAGGUAAUUGAGAUAAAGGGAGGGCAAUUGACUUGAUUCUCCGUCAAUUGUCUUUUGACUCGGUCCUGUUCUCGUGUUCAUAACACAUUUUAAAAUUUAUUGUACGUUUGUAGCAGUUUGUAACAGUUGUAUAUUUGUCCUCUUUUGUCCAGAACAGGCACAGAAUUGUAUUUCUUGUUUGCUUUUUGUGCAGUUCGCAUGUGCUUGUGAUGGUUGAAUGCUGCACAUCUGCUUUUAUUCUUCAUGCAGUCCCCCCCCCCUGCUUUUAACAAUCCAUUUCUUUUUCUAGUUUUCUGGAAUGAACUAUUGUUGACUUUUGUGUUAAAAAAACUACUGUUGACUGUUCUAUUUUAGUUCUAACGGGGUUUAACUUCUUAUUUGAAUUAUAUCUACUGGAAAUUCUGUUUGAUAGUGAAACUUCAUUUUUGGUUCUUACUUAUACAGAAAGCAGGUGGAUGCAGAGAGUCAGCCUUUUCUCCAGCAACAACAACAGCAUCAACAACAAAUGGUUCCAUUGCAAGACAGUUACAUGCAGAGCAGAGCCGAAGCUCUUCAAAAUGUAGAAUCCACUAUUCAUGAGCUAGGCACUAUAUUCAACCAGCUAGCCACUCUGGUUUCUCAGCAAGGAGAAAUUGCUAUCAGGUUUUUUAUUGAAGGAACUUCGCUUAUCAUAUAUAUAUAUAUUAUUUUCUAAUAUCUGAGUUUCACGUAAUUGCAUCGUGCCAGAAACAAUGAUUUAAUUCAGUAAUCAAUUAUAAAUUAUUGCAGCUGCAUCAUGGUGUUUAAAAUUAUAUGGAAUUAGUAACCCCAUUGUUGUUCUACUGAUUUUGACUUCUGGCUUUGUCGUUGUAAGUCUUGUAAAUGUCUUGGCCUCCUAAACAAAUGACUGGCCAUGCAGUCAUUUGUUUACCACUUAGUGAUGUGGUCCUGAAAAUGCAUUAUCUAUUUGGUACUUAGGAAGAAUUUGUGAAUGUCAUUUGUUUAUUAUAGUAAACAAAGUCAUGUUGCGUGUUGCAUUUUGUGGGUAAAAGUACCAUGGUGGCUUUUGUACUAGGAGUCAGACUGCAUUUUGCCUACUCAACUCAAAAAAUGGGCAAAUUAGUCCUUGUAUGUUAGAUCAGAGAGCAAAUUGGUCCUUUAUGUUUAAAAUGUUAUCCAUUUAUAUUGUUAAAAAUUGGCGUGGCUGGUGAAAUAAUCUGACAGUGGCACGUGGCAUGCCACGUCUAAUUGAUGCUGAUGUACAAAGAUCAGUUAUUAACAGUAAAAAUGGACGAAAUUUUAAACAAAAUGUCCAGUUUGCUUUUUGAUCUAAUGUACAAGGACUAAUUUGUCUAUUUUUUAGCAGAGAGAGCAAAAUGCAAUCGGACUCCUAGUACAGGGGUCUCUAUGGUACUUUUAACCAUUUUGGGGUAAAGAUAAAAUGUUUGGCAUAAACUCAAUAAGAACAGGUGCAUCAAUAUCACGGUCUGGAUCAUUUACUGCAUCUAAGGACCACUGAUUGGGACUUGUGAUAUGUUAUUUUACAGGAUUGAUGAGAACAUGGAUGACACAUUAUCAAAUGUGGAGGGAGCACAAGGAGCAUUGCUCAAGUACCUAAACAGCAUAUCGUCUAACAGGUGGUUGAUGAUGAAGAUAUUUUUUGUAUUGAUUUUUUUCCUUAUGGUAUUCCUAUUCUUUGUGGCAUAGUCAAUAAAGUGUGUGACAAAGCUGAGAUUGAAAAGAGAACGAUAAUGAUAAUGCCUUUUUUUUUUCUGACUGUUCUGUUCUUUUCAUAUAUACCAUCUUUCUUUUUGCCCACAAUUCAGUCCUGCUGUGUUGUGAUUGGACCCAUUUUUAUCACUGUGAUGUGUAUGUAUGAGUAGAAACGUGCAAUUUGUAGAAGGUAUUUAAAAACACUAUAGCUUAUUUAUUUAUCUACUUUUGAUAAGGAGUAUGAUACUGUGCCCAACUAUACCGAUAAUCAAGUUUUAAAGGUUCACUUUAGUUGGGUUUUUAUUUUUCUGAUACAAUAAAACAAAACAAAAGCGAAGAUAUAACUAUGAUUGGAAUUGUCCUACUAAAGCUUUUUGGCUCUCCCUCCUAAUUAUCCACUUUAGCGUGUCAUCUUUUUCAUCUUUUCAUUGGAUCAUUCUGUGUUUUGUAUUAAUUCUCUCAUUGUGUUAAUAGAACAGGUCUUCCUUUGAUUUUCAGAGGGCAUUAUCAGAUUUUUCUUUACGACUAUAAUUAGAGCAGUUUUUAACACUAAAAAUUUCCUAACUAUAUCAUUGUCAUGUUCGAGAAAUCUUCCAUUCUGGUCCCUAAUAUGAAGAAUAGCAAUGGAUGAAAUGUGGUUUGGUUUGGCUUUAUGCAAGGCAGUCACAAUGGUGAUACAUAUUUAGUGUGCAUAUUAAACUAUUUCAUAAAAAAAUAUCACAUUAAAGUACAAAGAUUUAAAUAUUAAAUUUGGCUAAGUUAAAAUACAAAUAUAUAUUGCAUGAUUUGAAGAGUAGAAUGAGAGAUAUUUCUUUUACAAUUUUAAAAUUAUUUAUAAUGUUAAAUUUCUGAAAAAAAGAAGAAGGAAAACUUAACAAAGGUAUAAACGAAAAUCACAUAAAAAUCUGGAUUUGGAUGGAGUGGGGUAGGAUAUACAUGUAAGAGCAGUGAGAGACGUAAGUGGAAGCGGAGCGAUAGACAGCUGCACAUAAGACAACAUAUUAAAAUCACAUCCACCGCUUCUCUUUCUCUCUCAUUAGUCCAUUUUAGUUUACAUUAUCUACCACCCAAACCCUAUACUUUACAGUCUCUGCUCUUCCACCAUUACUCAUCCGUUUCCAUCACUCAUUUUCCCGAGAAACAAACGCUCUUCUCUUAUUAUCUUGUAUCACUUCCUCAUUUUUGAAUAAACCCCAACACAGUCUCUUUUUAGCCUUCUCUAUCUUUUUUUUUAAUCAAAUUUCGAUCUCCGUUUCUCUCUUUUAUUUUUCGAAAUAUUCAGUUUUCUUAUAUUUUUCGAUUCGACGGUUUUUUUUUUUUUUGAAUUCGGUUGGGAGGGAACAGUGAGAAAUGGCGGGAGGAAGUAGCCGUAGACAGGAGGGUUCUUUAGUGAUCAAUAAUACGAACGUUUUCGCGGCUCUUGAAACUCUCAGGAGGAAGAAGAAAUCUGAUAAGGACCGAGGUUCUUCGAAGAAAUCUUCUUCCAAGUCUCAGCAGCAGCCGGAAAAAGAAGCGGAGCCGCAGGUCUUUUGGUCUCCGGCGCCGCUUACGGGCAAAUCGUGGGCCGAUGUUGAUGAUGACGAUGAUUAUUAUGCUACAACAGCUCCUCCUCAGCCUGAUUGGAGGUCCUCUGAGCCGUCUCAGAGUCUUGAAGACAACAAUUCCCAUGUAGAGGUGACUUAAUUUGUCUCUCAAACGAUCAGUUAGUCUUUUCUUUUCAGAAUUGGUGCUAUGGAAUUCUGUAGUGCAAUUUGUGAAGAUUUAUAUUAUUAAAGCCUCUAGUUGGAUUUUGUUUUGCUAUUAUUUGAAUGGUUCUGGAUGAUUAAGUGGUGGGAACUGGUAGAAUGGACGGGAAAAAAAGUGAACUUUUAGAAGCUAAUGGAUUGACCGAUGGUAUUGUGCCAAAUGUAUUUGUGGGAACUCCCAAAACUCCCAAGGACCUUGUAGAGUAGGAUUAAGUAGGAAAAAAAAACUUGCUGGAUUUUCCAAGUAAAUUGAGUAAUAGAUGCUACUCAUGGUUCUUUUUGCCAGCAGUGGAUUAUAGGCAAGUUUUUGGUGAAGACCAUGGUCAUUUGUUCAUCUUUGAAUACUCUAAUUAUUUGGAUUGCGAUACUUUGAAGUGUACUAUGAUUGACGUUGUUAACUCAGGAACCUUGCUCUAAAAUGAAAUAUAGAAAAAGGAGAAACGUUUGCUACAACGGAACUAUUUACUGACAGAGCUUAAGUGAAGAACAUAUUGGUCUUUACUCUGUGAAUGAUGUUAUAUAGAUAUGUAUAUAUAUUAUGUUAUCAUAGAAAUCAAUGGUGGUUUCUCUUGGUUUUAGUUUGCCUUUAUUUAUUGUUCUAAUUUAGUAUUAUGGUGUUUCCAAUACUUUAUAAUAUGAUCACGUUAUAAACUUACUAUACAUUUUUUAUGAUAUUAACUCUUUUUGUACCAGUAACAUGAUCUAAUUUCACACUCCUGCCUUCUAUCAUUGGAUUUGGAUCUUAUUUCUCCUUUAGAUAGGAAAUUUGUUGUGGAAUCCUCCUAAGGAGAAGUGGGGGGAAAAAGAUCAUAUCAGUGCAUUUUUUCAAUUCACUUAUUAUCCAUAGUCGUGUUGCAUAAAUCCGUAAGUUAUCGUGCUACAUUUUUAGUUCUCUUGUUCUAAGUGGAAGUUCAUUGUAUGCUUCUUGCAAUUUAAGCUGGUUGAAGAAGGGAAACAAACAAGUGCAAUAGGCUUGAGUUAUACUUGUCUAGGAGAAUAUGUGGAUGGCAUAUAAUGAUGUAACAUCAUAGCUACUGUUACUAACAGAGAGCCAGCUGGGAUUUCCUUCUGGGCGCUCCUAACGCUCGGGUCCUUUUAUGCUUUUGUUAUUUUGCCAAAAUGACAAGUCCCUUGAGCAUUGGUGAUUUAUCCGAUUGAAUUGAUAUAGAAUGAAUAAUGGAAAUUAGUUUGCUUUCCGCAAGUUAUGUAUCAAUUUUAAUUGAUCUUAAAUUUGCAGGACAGUGAGAGCGAAGAAGAUAUUUUAGAGGAAGGUGAUGAUGAUAUUGAGGAAGAUCAUGACCAUGAACCAGAGAGUCAAGUACAUCCUGAGCCUGUGCUAGAAAAGGCUGCUGAGGUCCCUCCACCACCCAAGGAGCCAGAAAGACAACUUUCAAAGAAAGAAAGGAAGAAAAAGGAACUUGCGGAGCUGGAGGCUCUUCUUGCUGAUUUUGGAGUUACACAGAAGGAGAGCAAUGGCCAGGAUGAGUCACACGGUAGCUUUAACCUACUUUUUGCUUAUAUUAUUCUUAUGGUACUCUGUAAUUGUUUGCCUGUGACAAUGUUCCCUAUUUUCAGUGGGAAGUCAGGUCUUUGUAUUAUUUAUUCCCAUUUUCGAGGGUAGAAAGCACUAGAAUCAAAUUUUAGGGUGAUUUUUGUUUUGACAUACAAUAAUGGAUGGUUGAUGUUUCUUCUUUGGGACAAAAUGCAUAUAAUGAGGUUGAAGUUGUUUUUGAGUCUGCUUUUGGGAUAUGAAAUUCUCUCUCAAGCACAGGCGUGCAACCUUUUAUAUUCAUAAAAUAUUCUCUUAGGCUAUCUAUCGUUCACUUAACUGUAAGAUUGCAUUUAUAGUCCCGGAACCACACUUGAAUAUCAACAACGGAAAGUCUAUAAUAUACUAAGUUAAGCCUUUUUAUCUUUUAUAUCUGCAGAUGCUGUGCAAGAGAACAAAGACGGGAAGGGAGAAAAGAAGGAGAACCCUGUAGGAGAGUCUAAAAGCGCCAAGAAGAAGAAAAAGAAAGAUAAAACAAAGGAAGGAAAAGAAUCACAGGAUCAGCCUACUUGUGCAGAUGCCACCACCAAUGGACCAGAUGAAGUUGCUGGGACUGAGCAGACCGAGGAGGAUGCAUCUGCCAUUGAUGUGAAAGAGCGGCUAAAGAAGGUGGCUUCUAUGAAGAAGAAGAAAUCUAGUAAAGAGAUGGAUGCUGCUGCAAAAGCUGCCGCACAAGAAGCAGCUGCAAGGAGUGCAAGGCUAGCUGCAGCAAAGAAGAAAGAGAAGAACCAUUACAACCAACAGCCAGUGCGGUAAAAACAAAUCCCCUUGUUCUUAUAUAUAUAUAUAUAUAUAUGUAUUUGAGAUAUGAACAUGUAUUUUAUUGUUGUUCAUAUGACAAUAUGAAAUAAACAGUGAGCUUCGGUUCAGCGAAAAUGGUGACAUUUUAGUUGUAUUUGAAUGAACUAAAACGAAAAUUGUAAACUGUUUUAGGGUUGUAGUUGUUUGCUAAGAAUUCUUCGUUAGGCAGCCGUUGACACUAAAACUUACAUGUUUAUUACAUGUAUUUGGUGCUGUAGAUGAGACAAAAGGAAUGCUCGAUAUAUCUAAUUGCGGAUUGAGAACUUUAUUAAAAAUGAUAUUAUGAAAGGUUGGGUUAAGUUUUGAUUUCACAAAUAUAAUGACAUUUAAUCAAGGAAAUUAAGUGAUAUAUUUAUAAAGGAAAGGAUCCACUUAAAUUUGAUGUAUUUUAAUAUUUUAACGAUGAAAAAGAACCCUGCUUAUUUUAUUUUAAUCCCCAAUCUCUUUCUUUUGUAACCUCAUGUACCAUAUAAGCUCGUUCCCGCUUGAUUCGACUCAUACGAAUUAAAAUCAAAUUUAUUAUUUGAAUAAUAAAAUAGGUUGACAAGCGGAGCUGAGCCCUAGCCGGAUAACCCUUCAAAAUGAUUUACCUGACUAAUGUCAUUUAAUCAAUUCGGUUCAUUCAAGUCCAUUAUAAGCUUUUAAACUAAGUUAUGUUCAUGAAAUUUCACAAUCAAUCUUGACCUACUUUUAAUAUAUGUUUUCAAUUUUAAAAUAUAUAAAUUUUCGUCAAACCUAACCUAACUGAUGUUAAGUUAGUUCAAUAAUAUUAAUUAAAAACUUUAAAUUGAUCAUUUAGUGGAUAAAAGUAGGAGAUUAAUCGAUUACCUUAAUUUUUCAACUUUUCUAGCAUCAGCAUAACUUUGACUCGUGUACAUGUACAACUCGAAUGAACAAAAAUAGAAAGAAAAGCUUCAAAUUCGACCCUACAUUCAUUUUCAUUGUUUUUGAAGCCCCAAUACAACUUAUCCCAGCUAAAACCUAUAUAGCUUGCAAAUUCUGCAAUUAUAUAUAUAUGCAUGUAUACGUUGUGUGUGAGUAAUUACAUAUAGCAGAUAAUGAGAGUAAACAGAUCAUACAUAACAAAUGCACAACGCCAAUGUGAUGGGGGUACAACAACAAUAACAACAAUAUUUUGGUGAUCGAAGAAUUUGCCGUGUGUUUGGUUUGUUUUUGUUUGUGUUGUGUCUGUCAGUCACAGUCAAGUGAGAGUAACAAGCUUACAUCUCAAUUCUCAGUGUUUCACUUUCACCCCGUAAGAUAACCAUAAAGAAUGGAAGGGACGACCACCCAACACAUUAGUAGAAACACCAUCAAACUGUAUGCAGCUGGCACCAUACACAAUAUCAAUUUCCAACUCAUCAAUAUAUAUAUUUAUAUAUAUUUUUAUGUGUUACAUUUAUUACUAUAUAUCAUUAAAACCCAGAGCUUCUAUAAUUGUUGUCCACACUUCUCUCACCUCGUCGCUGGUUAUCAUGUGCUCCCGACAGUGAGCUCAAGAUGCUGGCUGUGCUCGUCCCGGAUAUUGCGUCCAGUACAUUCUCGCCAAUGUCGUUCUUGCAAAGAGGACAAGAUGCAUUGAUCUUUAGCCAUUUGUCAACGCAUUCCUUGUGCAUGAAGUGAGAACAUGGGAGCUCCCUUAGCUCUUCGUUAUUAGUGUAUUUUGCCAAACAAAUGCAGCAGACCUGUUCAAAAUCCGAGAAGUUCCAAUACUAUCAGUACGUACAGGAAGAAGAAAAAUCUAAGGGAAAAAAGCCUGAUUGAUAAUUCCCAAGUAAUCAGAGCAUAGUCCUACUGGUCGCGGAGAUAUCAGAUAGUUAAGUAUAAUGGAAAAUUGCGAAGCCAAGCAGUUAAGAAACCCAUAUAAUGAACAUGCUUUUUAUCUUAUUAUCGGGAAUACAAGACAUGUCACUGAAUUAUGAAAACAAUAAUGAAAGGAAACACUCACUGCAUCUUCUCCAGAGAUGAUCCUUUCCUUUUCCGUUCCUGCAGCCACAACCCCACCCUCACUGGCGCCUGAGUUGACAUCCUUACCAUCACUAUUUCUAUUUUUCUUCACCUUGAACUUGUAAGUUGGCAAAGCCUCGAUGGAUUCAGGUGUGGCCCCUCUUGCAUGUGAUAGAUCCUCUCUAAAUCCAAGGACAGAAAUAAUACAAGGCAGGCAACAGCAGAUCGUGGCACAUAGAAUAAAGGGUAUUGCAUAUCCGAUACAACUAAUUGUAAGAAAAACUAUACAUAACCUGGAAAGAGAAAAAGAUGAAACAAAAUGGAUGAAUCGUCAAGAAAAGUACAAAUAAAAACUUAAAUGCAGAAUAUUGCAAUCUGCAACGGCCACUACCUGUACAAGUUAGGAGCCUCACUGGCAGAUGAGUGCCCACCAAAGAUCCAGACGUUGCCAACCACAAACCAAACAGCAAAGAAGCAAUCUAAAAUCAUUUUGAAGUAUUCCACUAGUGCUUUUAUUCUGCAAUAUAAAAAUCAGCUGAUUGGAUACUAAAUGUGAUCAUGGGGCCAUAAAAAGAACCCCCAAGGCUAUAGUCCAUUAUAACCUUCAUCGAGAUGACUCUCUGUCAAAGUUCAGUAUCAAAUGGUCAGACCUAUCAUAUUUCCAGUCCAACUCAAGGAUGCUAUCAGUGCAUAGUACCAGAGUGGAGUCAAAAUAAAUCUCACAUAAACUAAAUUGGGUAUACUGAAUGCAUAAAUAUAGCAACAGCGACUUUAGCUAUUAUCAAUUGGUUUUUAGAUUGGAUACCCAUCUUAAAAUUUGGCGUGAAAGCAAAGCAAGUGUUUUCCACCUUCCUUAAUUGAUCUACGACAACAGCCACUCCAUCUAUUGUUAAUUGAUAUUAUACUGGAUGCUCAUCUUUAAAAUUUAACAUGGUAUCAGAGCAGGCACUCUACCAUUUCAUGAUAUGUCAUUAUCUCCGCAUGUGAAGUUCAUGCCACAAGAUAGGUUUGCUGUCUUCUACAUUUGAAGGUCUGUAUUGAGGGAGAUCAAGUGAAUCUCACAUUGGUUAAAUUGAGGGUAAAUUGGACACAAAAAUAUAGCAAGGGUCACUCUACCUAUUGUUAAUUGGUUUUAGGUUGGAUGCUCAUCUUAAAAUUUAACAAACAUAACAAACUUAAGACGGGAUGUAUAAUUCUCGUGCUUUUUUCUUUUCCUGAUUUCCAAAAAAGAAAAUUGUACCUGGCACUUGUUAUUCCCAUGUUUUGGCCACCUCUAGGUGAUGUAGUUGCAGUUCGAUGAUCACCCCCAUCAGAAGUCCUAGUCACAGAGAAAGAAAAGGAUCUGGCAGGGGCAUUAUUGUGUGAAGCAUGGCGAUUUUGAGCUGAAUCUUGCUCAGAAGCCUGGUUACGAUGACGAUAACGCCAAUACAGAAGAGGGAGGGUUGCUACACAUCCAGAUGAAUAGCCCACAAUCCAGGGAAACAAUGGUGUACGGGGAUGCUCAUUCCGUGACAAAGACAAGACAACAAUAGAUGCUACAAUCUGGCUCACUGUAAGAACAAGUUCAACAGAAAUCCACAAAACAGAAUUCAACGGACUCCUCCUCCGACGGGCAUCCCCUCUCCUUACAGAAGAUGAGAUUCUUGAAUUUGUACCAUUGGAUGAAGAUGUUGAAGGUUGAGAAGGUUCUGAAACUAGUGCUCUUGCACUAGUAGAAGGUCUAUCCACAUGCUGCAAAACAUCCAACCCAUUCGAAGUUGUUCCAUAAGAUGAGUUGGAUGAAGAAGUAUCAUCAAUCCUUGGCAUGUCAAUAACAUGUCCAUUAAAGUCCUUUGGUUGCUCCAUUAACAAUGGACAAGUGUCAGUUUGAUAUUCAGAAUGCAGUCCCGAAGAGGGAACACCCAUCUAAGUUCACCAACACGACUGAAAAUGAUGAAAGCAUAGAAACCUAUAAAAAGUUUACUUGCUUUAUGUACCACUUCUUAACUCUGCUGAAACAAUAGACGCUUUUUUCCCUGUUAUUGUUCAAGUUCUGAUGAUUGACUUAAACUAUUUGGCACCUUAAGAUGUUGAUAAAUUAACAAAUCCUGUUCAGUUGAGAAUUAAGAUGCAACUAAGUCAGAAUAAAAAUAUAAAAUUUUUCUCCCCCUUGAGGAAAUGAAUAUACAAUAGUUGCUAAGCAGAAAUCAAACUCAAAGGACAAAAGAGAUACCGAACCCACUGAAUCCCUAAAUCCCAUCCAAAAGAAUGAACGAAAGGGUUUGCACCAUUGAGCUUUCAGAAAUUAAUACAUGGAAAAGAAGAAACAUAUAUAACCUAAAUAUACUUUCUGAAGUAUAAAUGGCCAAUAACAAAUAACAUCAGAGCAAUCAACAGAUUACCAUUCACACAAUAAAUUUAAAAGAAAGCAAGAAAAAAACUAAAUAAUGGCAUGCAUUACGCUCAUACCCAGAGUCUAUUUUUUGUAACCCUCAAACUGCACACCAGCACAUGAAAUCAACGUGGAUUUGCCUUAUAAACAUCCAAUCUCCUUUCUUUCUGAUUAUUUAAAGAAUUAAAAACUCACCAGUCCCCUCAACCAGGCAAAGGCUUUCGACGCUUUCUUAUGACAAAUAAGAAACUUAUGGAUGGAAUUAAGUCUUAAACUAUGCAAAUUUCAUCUUAAAAUUAGUGGAGAGGGGAAAAUCCAAAUCCAGUUCUUAAAAAUUCUUAAACUAACUCAAUGAAGAUAACAGCUUCACUUUCAAUUCAAGAACUAAACUUUUGUCAAUGAAGAAAACCCUCCUCACCUCCCAAAUUCCGACCCCCACCGCCCCCACCGGAGUGGCUAAUACAGUUUCUUCAGCCGCUAAAGAAUUUUUUUCUAUUAAUUCCUACAAUAAUUUUCAACAAAAGUAAAGAAUGGGGAAAAAAAUUCACUUCCAAAAACUAUUCAAAUCAAAGUCAAUAGCAACCGUAUUUAAGAUCGAAUCAGUACCACACCUCUUAAGGAUGAAACACUAGGUUCCUCGAUCAACAAGAAAACUCGAUUCCUCCUCCUAAGCUGCAAAAAAAGGGGGAAGCGUUGACUAAAAUUCAAAAAACGAUCAACCCCUAAUAAAAAUUUGAACAAACAAAAUAAAAAGGAACUAUUAAAUACUCAGUCAACGGAAGUGAAUCGCACCAAGGUGGUCAGAAACUAGAAGGAUUGUGAGAGCUGAGAAAGUGACCGGAAAAGAUAACGGCGACGUUCGAUGAGUGGAUAGGCGCCGUUGCUGCCUCUAGUUCUUUUCAAAGGUGAGGAGUUAAAUGCUCAAGGGGGGUUUGUUUGUUGGGUAUUGCUUUAUACGGGUGGGAGAUGGUAAAUAAAAUUGUAAAAUUUCUUUUUUCACUCUCUAAUUAUGAAAAAUUACAAAAUAUUCAUUCAACUAUUUAAUUUUAUCUUUUUUGUUUUGAGUUGGCUAAUGUAAAAAUAGAAGUACCCAAAAAAAUCCAAGAUAAUUGGGUAACCCAAAAAGACAAAAUAAAAAAAAGUUGAGUUACUAAAAAUGUAGCUUGCCCUAAUAUUUAAUGUUAAUAUACUAUUUACUAUUUAUAUUUGACUUCAAUAUUUAAUUUGGUACCUGAGUUUUCUUUUUUCCCAAUUAAGCACUUUGAGUUUGGAUUUAAUAUUUAAUUUAUUACCUAAGUUUUUUCUUCUUGUCCCAAUUAAGUACCUAUACUUUUUUUUUGAGAACACAAGUGUGUUUUCAUUUGGUCUAACUACUAAAUUGAACAUUAAAGUUAAAUUCAAGUGUUAAAUUGGGAAAAAAAAUUAGGAUACCAAAUUGAACGUUAAACCCAAACUCAUGUACCAAAUGUUAUAUUAACCAUAAUAUCUAUAUGAUGAUGAUGAUGUAUGGAUUGAACCUACUUUUGUUUGCUUGUUUGCAUGGAUGAUCCAUAAAAUAGUUAAAAGUAAGAGGGGCAUAAAUAGUAAUUGUAAUAAUUAAAGAAUUGCACUUUGAAAUUUCAAACAUCUUUUGGAUUCUCUCCCCUCUAUCCGUACGGCUGGCUGUGGACUGAGUCAACUGGAUUAUCUCUAAUUUUUGCCGUCUACGUUUAUUUGUUUUUGGGUUAUUUGCAUUAAACCUCCCAAUUUAUGGGUUAAAUUUUAAAAUUAUUGUAAUUGAAUCCCCAAGCUAAAACUGAAAUUUAACUAAAUUUAUGGAACAACUUGACUAGAAUGAUUCUUUAAUUUGAAGAUUAAAUUGAUUGAUUUUAAAAUUUAAAACUUAACUUAAAAAUUUAACUAAUUUCCCUCAGCAUUUUAAUUUAUUUAUAGUAAUGAAAAAAAUGUUAAUUUUGAAUUUUGAAAACCUGAGAUCAUGUUUGAAUAUUUCUAACAUUGGACUCUACUAAUUUGUGAGCUUUUUCAUUUUUUAAAAAAAUUUCUUUUACAUAUUUUUGAAAUCUUUAUAUAUUUGAAUAACAAAUGGAGAACCCAGGGAGAAUUAGCAAAAAAAAAAAAAGGUUGUUUUUUAAAGUUAAUUAGUAAAUUAAGUUGUUUUUCUCGAAAUUUAGGGAAAUUAACUUUUUUGAAGAGAGAAAUUGAAAAUGCAUUUUUAAGAAAAAUGUUCUUUGAAAAACACUUUUCUACAAAAUACGUUUCCUUUAGACAAAUUAACUUAUCUGAUUAGAUGAUCAAAUAACAAUGUAUUUUUUUAUUUCAGUUGUUUCGAGCUUUUUUUAAUUUUUAACAAUAAAUAUAUUGUUUACCUUUUAGCAUUUUACAAGAGAGGAAUUUCGGUGAAUUACUGAAUUUGUUACAUCAUUCUAGUGUUUCUUCUACAAAAACAUUAAAUUUCUUAUAAAUUUAUCUUGACCUCGUAGAAACUAUUUAUCUUUUCACAUUAUUUCACCAUUUAAAUUAAAUUUCCAUUUAAUUUUUAUAUAAUUUCAUUCACGAUAUGGAUUUAUCAUAAUCUAGUAAUAACAUAAAAUUAUUUCAUGUCCUAUCAUUUGCAAAUAUCCUAAUAUGAUAAAAUUUCAAAUAUUCUAAUAGAUUUAUCCGAUACGUAUUCGAACAUGAUAAAUAUAAUACAAAUUUUUAAUUAAAAAAUUCACAGUAAAAAAAAAAUGAGUGGCAAACAUAAAAUGUUAUGAACUUGGUUACCAAGAGUCACUCAUGAAUCUCUUUCUCACUUCUUCCAUUGGGGCAGCCUUUGAACAACAACCUUAAAAAAUCAACAAAUCAAAACACAUCAAUGUGUUUAUGUAUAUAUAAAUAACAUUUAUUCUAUGACUAAAUAUGAAAUUUUAAUCCGAUUAAUUCAUAUCUAAACUUGAUUCAAUAUGAUUUGACUAUAUAACUCUAAAUUUAAAGAUGAUUUAAGUAAAAAAAUACUUAAAACUAGAACGAUCUAAACCUAAAAUCAUUCAAACUUAAGUAUUAAAUCCGAAUAAAACAAAAUGAAAUAACUCCAAUACUAAAUAACCUAAACUUAAAAUCCCAAAAUUUUAAAACUCAAAUUGAUUCGAUCCAAAUUGACCCAAUCGCAAAAUAACUCUAUACCUAUAUUUGGAUACUGUUAAAUAAGUGCACUUUAAGAAAAAUAAAAGAGUUAGAACUAUAUAGUAUAUACUCCCACCCUUGCAAGCUAGAAAAAUAGUUCAGCAUCAUACCUUGCCAGAGUUCUCCUUAUUUCCCACAAUAGUUCGACAAGCAAGCCUCCAAGAUUCUGGUUUCUGUACAUCAUAUAUUCACCAUAUUCGUAAAAAAAUUAUGUAAAAAAUAUAUUUAUAAGGAAGUUAUGUCAAAUACAAAAAAAAAAAAGAGAAAAGUUGUUGAAAUAAUAAAAUUGAGAUUAUAUAAUAUCUUAAAUUUAAGUUAUACUAUUUUUUAAAAUUUAUUUUGGAUUAAAUUUUAAAGAUUUCAUAUAUGAAAACACCUUCAAGAAAAAUUCAUCCUUCUUGAGGAAAAAAGCAUAUACCUUCUUGAGAUAUCGAAGUUCAUCCUUGGUUCUUUCAUUCAAAAGAUCUUUCCCAUCUACAAUCUGAUAACAAUAUCUAUUUUAUUUGAAUUUGAUGCUUGCUCAUUAAAAUGAAAAUAACCCAAAUUAAGCCUCCUUCAAUUAACAAAAUUAGUGACAGUGUAGUUAAUUUUCAUACCUCUACAAUGCAAGUUCCACAGUUUCCAAAACCUCCACAGUUCAUCACUUUUCCCUAAUCUCAAAAUCUCAACUUAGGAAUAUUAAAAAAAGAGAGUAUGAAAUUAAAAUAUUAGGCAUUGUUUUUGGUGGAGAUUUUAUUUUCGUAGAGUUGGAGUGGUUAAAAAUAUGAGACUACUUCAUCAAUUGUGUGAUGUCAUGUAUGGUUAAACUUGAACUCUUUGAGUGCCUCAUGAUUCAACUUUUUAAGUAGACAAUAACGAAUGUAUUGAGAGUCGGAGCUAAAUUCUGAUCCGCAACUAUACCAAAAAGAAAACCAAAGAAGAAGGGUUUUUUUUAAAAGCAACUUACAUAGGCAGCAUAAAGCUCAAUGUUGUUAUCCAACAUGAUGUUCCUCAGCAGCUUUUGUCCACUUAUUGCUGUAGCUUUAUCCACUGGAUACGACCCAUCACUUCCUGGCUUCGGCUGUGCCACCAACCACCACAUAUUUCAUCAUUCAAUCUCUAUGAACAGGAAACUUAAUAAAAAAAAAAUGGGUUGAUCUUUUUUGGAUGUAAAAAACUUAAAAAGAAAGUACCCCAAGAAAUUCCAGCUCGAUUUCAGGCUUUUCUGAUGUUGUUGAUGAACUGGUUUGAGGAGAAGGUGUUGCUAAUGUAAGAACAACAUGUCUCUUCUUAGCAAGGAACUUUGUUGUUGGGUUACUGUAAUUGUUGCUGUUCUUCAAUGAAAAUCCUGUUGUUGGUUGGGGUGUUAUGCUAGUUAAGCUCAAGGAUGCCAUUUUUUGUUUUUCUUAUGCUCUCUGUGCUUUUUUAAUUUCUCCAAAAUUCCCCAAAGUUUGAUUUGUAAGAUUCUGAGCCUCAAAUGGAGUGCACUUUUUUAUGGUUAGUUUAAAGUUAAAAAAUGUGGCCAGCAUUUGUUGGGUUUUGAAAUUUCUCCAUGUUCUUUGGGCUUUAUCCAACAACUUCGCUAAAAAAUAGAAAGGAAAGGACUCAUUGUGUCCAUAGUCGUACCAAUUGAUACAACAUAAUUUUAGUUUCAUAGUUUUGUUUUUGUCACUAUUAUAAUAUGCUAUAAACCCUUUCAAUCCAUCGAGAUUUACCUUUGUCAGCCCAUCCAGACUGCUACAAAAUUUUUAAUAUUCUUCUUGCUUUCACCAAUUUUAAUAUUUAUAUUUUGUAUUUAUUAAAAAAUUAAAAUUUAAAAAAUAUAUAUAAAUACUAGGGGUGAGAGUUCGAUCGGAUCGAAUCGAGUGAAAAAAUUUCGAGUUAAUCGAGUUCACGAAUCCUAUUUUAUCAUCGAAUUGAGUCGAGUGAAAUGAAAUUAGAUAUAUAAUUAAUUCCAUGUUGGAGUACAUAAAUUUGAAAACAUUUAUAUUUGAAAAUCUUUCAAAAAAAUUAUAAUAAAACAUGAGAUACUUCCAUUUUGGUUGAAAAAUGCAAUCAUAUGUUUGGGGUAUUAUAAGUGAUCAAGGGAUGGUAACUCAUAUCAUAGGAGGAAAUUUUGCGCAAAGUUCUAUUAAUAUUAAUGGGUGGCUACUUGAUUUCUUAUGGGCAUAAGCAUCUCAAGUAAUUCAACCAUAUGGUUCUUUAUUAUCUGCAUAUGGCCUUCUUUUCUUAGGUGCUCAUUUUGUAUGAGCUUUUAGUUUAAUGUUUCUAUUCAGUGAGCAUGAUUAUUGGCAAAAAUUUAUUGAAUUCAUCGUUUGGGCUCUUAAUAAAUUUGAAUACUUAAUUAGGUUUAAAAUUAUCAUUUUAGAAAAUUUUAAAAAUUUUAAAAAUUUUAAAUUUUAUAUAUAUAUUUUUAGAUUUUUUUAAAAAAUAUAAAAUUUAAAAAUUUUAUAAAUAUUUUGAAUUUAAAAAAUUAUAUUGAUUUUUUUUAUAAUUUGUUGAGAGAGAUCAAUCUAUUUAUUUUCAAAGUUGGCAAUGAUUAAAAGGGUAUUUAAACCAAUUUGUUAUUCAAAUUAUUCUAGUUAUUUGAAUUGUGAAAUUCAAAUCGACUCAACUCAAACUUGAAACUCGAAUUGAGUUAUUUGAGUUAACUCAAAUAAUUUGUAUAACUGGAAUAAUUCGAUAUCCAAUUUUUUUUUUUAUUUUUUCGAAUCGAUCAAAUUUUGCUUUACCCCUAAUAAAUUCUUAAAAAUACCAAUACAUUUGCACCUUUUCAACAAUUUCUCGAAUCUCCUUGAAAUCCAAACCAUAGCAAAUGAUUUGUGUGUAUAAACAUAUGAGAACUUGGCGUAAAUAAUUAGACUGAUUAAUUUUGGCUUGAAUCGAAAGCACUCAAUUAAACUCAAUUAAAUUCAGUUCAACCUGAUUUUAUCUUAAAAAAUCAAUAAACCGAACUUAAAUUUAUCCGAAUUCGAAACAACCAGAACUUAGAAUGACCCAACCUGAAAACUCUCAAACGAACAAAAAACAAUAUUAACUCAAAAUUGACUUAAACUCGAAUCAAAAUCAUUGAAAUUUUUAAAACUCAAUUUGACUUUAUUCAGAUUGAUUCAAUCCAAAACCAAUAGACACGCACCAUUAAAAGGUCUAUAUAUAUAACUGUAACAAUUUCUCUUGUUAAACCUUGAAAGAAGCCAAUCAUAUAAGAUGACAAAUUUGACUUAUCAACAACUUUGCUUGCAUUUGAUUCUUGAAACUUGAAAAACUUCCUGAGAACAAGGCAGUCAUGUUUUCAUACAAGUCAAACCAAGCUUCCUUUGCUUGAGUAUUACCAUGACGAUGACAACGUUAUGGCUUAGAAUUUAAUCAAAUAUUGAAACACUUGUCAGAUGAAGUUAAAAAAAAAAAGAAAAAAAAAGGGAUAUUGUUAUUAUGAUUGUCCAAGAAAAAAUAUAUAGUGAAAUCUUCCAGCAGUUCACACAUAAAUUUUUACCAGCAUAUCUGAAAACUGACAUAGGCAACUAUUUUACAAUAAGAAUUUAUAUCCAGUAAUUAUGUCAAUUCAUGUGAAUAAUGUUUGUGUAGAAUUUAGUGAGAUGGAUGCACCAUCAGUGUGGAUCAUCAACUGCAUAUGAAAACCAAGAAAGCACUAACCUGUAGGCCACAAGGUUUGCUUUCGGUCAAAGAUAAUUUGAUCUCCAUCUGGAUAUUUUUGAAGUGAAUCACUUAAUCAGUCCCGUUUAGACACCUAGCAGGCACGAGAUCUGCAGCUUUGACUGUAUAAAUGAUGCUUCAACAUGUCAAUUUGAAGUUAGGAAGAAGUCUGGGUCUGAAGCUUCUCAUUCCUUGCACAUUCCUCCUG